rnacentral:lncRNA from 1 species
UUUCUUAAAACAUAUACUUGUAGACUCCGUAUCCCUAUUAAGUAUAUAUAUAUACUCACUUAGGUAUACUUAGUAUAAUAUAACAAUUAUUUAUGAAUUAUAAGAUAUCUUUAUAAUAAUAUAAGGAUAAGGUUCAAAUAUAAAACAAUAAAUAUAACAAUGAAUAACAGGUACAAAUAUUAAAUUGAGGUACCCAUUCUAUGAUAACUCUCAACAGUCUCCCCUCCAUUUUUGUGCCUUUAGUGGGCUUAGUAUUUCCGGCAAUUGCAAUAGCUUCUUUAUAUAUUUAUGUUAAAAAAAAAAACAAGAUUUUUUAGAUACAACAAGGACAUAUCUUAUUUAUUUAUAUAUAUAUUUAUGGUAUAAUAUGCGGCUUCCUUCGGGCAUAAGCUCUAAUGUAUGUGUAAACAUGAUAAAUGAAUUAUAACUAUUUUCAAAUAGAUUAGGAUCGAGGAGAAUUUUCUGAAAUGUAAAGUCAAUAUAUCUAUAUGUAUUAGAAAAUCAUAUGAAAGAGAUGUUAUUAUUUUAGUUUGGAUCUAAGAAAUUCGAUGAAUUAUCCCUAGGUUCACAUCAUAAUAGUGCUUGUUGAUGAAAGUUACUUUGGAAACAAAAAAAAAAAGUAAAAAAAAAAAAAAAAAAAAAAAAAAAAAAAAAUUGUUCUUCUCCCAAUUCCAAGAAAAUGCAACUAGGUCUAGUUAGAGUAUGAGUUGGCAAUCAUAACGUAUAUGGGUAGAACUUAUAGCGGGGUCUCGAAAAAACAAGUAAUUUAUGUUGGGCCUUUAUUCUUUUUUUUAGGUUCAUUAGGGUUUUUUUUCUGGUUGGAACGUCCAGUUAUUUUAGUAGGAAUUUUAUAUCUUUAUUUCCUUCUCAGCAAAUUUUUUUUUUCCACAAGGUAUCGUGAUGUCUUUUCUAUGGGAUCACACGUCUUUUUAUUAGCUCCUAUAUGUGGUGCACAAUUUCAUGGAAUGUAGGUAGUGGUUAUGAUCGAUUCGAUAUAAAAUAGGGCACAGUGUGUAUUUUUUGUUGGGGAUUUUCUGAAAAAAUCGUCACAUAUUCCUCUGAUUCCUUAUGAAAGACAUUUAGUCCAUCAGAAUAGAAAUUAAAGAGGGUAUUUAUGCUCGUCGUGUCCUUUAUUUGAAAAUAAAAUGACAAGGAGCCAUACCCUUGACUCGUACUAAUGAGAAUUUUACUCCACGAGAGAUUGAGCAAAAAGCUGCUGAAUUGACCUAUUCACUUUACCCUUUAUUUUGUCAUUUUAGUUAAAAUUCAAAGUUUUCAAACCAUUUUCAUUAGUUUUUCCUUAAUUUUUCUAUAUAGUCCAGAUUUUCAAUUCAAGAAAAUAUUUUUAUUAUAAUUUUUUGUAAUGGCCGGGGCUAGGAAGCCGUUCCCAACUGGAGAAUCCCAGGUCUGAAAUUUUCGUAUAUAAAGGCAAGGAUGACGAAAAAAAUACUUAACAGGGAUGGGGAUGACAAUGACAUAACUUAUGUAUAAUACUCCUUACAGUCAUCCCCAUUUUCAGAUGAUGAUCAAGAAAACCAAGCGUAAACUUUUUUUUUUUCUCCAUUUACACACUACAAUUUUUUUGUCCCUAAAUUCCUAUUUAAUUAACUCUUUCAAAAUACCCAAUUUAAAGAGGUGUUAUUAGCGACAGCUCCUUAUCUACUCUAAAGGAAAGAAAAAGUCUACUCUCCCCACCCUCCAUAUCAUAGGAUAACUACAAUUAAACUGGAUAUGAAUGAUGUGUCAUUAAAAUGUAUUGCAUAUUGGAUAUAGAUUUUUAAUUCAUAUCCAGAAUAUCUAAAACCCGAACCACCAAACAUGCUUAAUUAGAAGAAUAAAAAUAAAUUAUACAGACUAAAUUGUAAUUACACUUCUGAAAAUUAAAAAAAAAAACAUACAACCAAAAAAAAAAUAUCUCAAUGAGGGCACUGCAAUUAGAUCAACGAUCCUCAACUUCCAAGCCAUACAAAACUCCUUGACAGCAAUAAAAGUUUGAGUUGCAGUUUUGUUCCAAUAAGCUAGUUUUGAAAUACACAUCCUUGAGCUUCAUAAACGUUUGCAAAGUCAGCAGACUAUCGGAGCCAGCCUGGUGACUCUUUCCGGCCACACGAUCGACAUUGAGUGCAUUCGCCACUUUCUCGAGACCUCCAUGAAGCCCUUGGCAAAACCUAAUCAUGUAUUUGAUGUCAUACACUCUUUGUCCAAAGUACAAAUCCAUCAUCCACAUGAACCUCGUAAUGUCGUGCGGCAACACCUCGUUUAGAAUCUUGAUCAAGAACCCGAAAUCAUAAGCACUGUGGAAUGUCACCCAUGUCAAGUUGGAUUCCCUGGAGAUCAGACCGGAAUUCCUCAACAGAGAAGAGAAGUGGGAAGCGCUAAUACCAUUUUGCUUGUUCUCCAAGAAAUCGAUUCCUUGCCUCUUAAGUAACUCGAUUGAGUCCUUGUUUUGACAGUCGCGAUCGAUAUCAAAGUCCCUGAAGUUGAACUCCCAAAUGUAGCAGGUAUCAGUGCCCAAGUCCGGCAGGUUUCCAUGGCGGUCGGAGAGUGUUAGACCUAAUUGGAUUAUCUUGGUGGCGUUCACGUUUUCCCUCAUGAGGUGGUAUUUGGAUGCAGGCGUCUGUGCAGGAAUUUGGAAAACUGUCCCCGGAAAUUCGGUGUCUAGAGAGACGAAGGUGUAGUGACGAAUCAAGGCCGUAAUCAGAUGAAACUCGAAUGCUGCGUUGUGCUGCCAAACCCGUCGAAUCGCUACGCUCUUCAUAUUUUUGGAACUUUUUUUGUCCAUUGUUAUCGUCUUCUUUUUGUUCUUGGAUGGACGUUGAAUUAAUGUUAUGAUCACCAAGACGAUGCAUGGCUUAUAUAUAUACACACACAGAGUAAUUAAGUUUCUUUCCAAGAACAACUAGGAAAUAUAUGUUUUAUAAUAUUUCUCGCUAACUGAUCAUUGACGAAAAGGUUAAUUUACUUCAAAUAUUAGUUCCAGGUGAAAACAGGAAACCCAGCUGAAAAGAGAACAAACGACAAGAUGCAAUAAGGAAAGAUUUAAUUUCCUAAUUUCCAAUUGUUCCCCAAACAAAAGACAAAAAACAUAAAUUUAAUUAUUUCUCUUUCAUCGGUAUCAUAAUCAAGCAAGACGGACGGUCACAGAGUAACGGCGGAAAAUCAGAUUCCAUAUUGUUCACGAGCUGUGAAUCAUAGUGGACGUAAAUACAAUUCAUGUUUGUCUUCAAUUGAAACCUAUAAGUUCUCAAAAAGUAAGGCAAUUUCAAAUGGGGCGCAUAAUGAGGAAUGGCUAAAUCACAAACAAGUCUGUGGUUCAAAUACAACUGUGAGAAACAAAAUGGAACUUUGUGAUUUGGUCAUGGUUAGGGUUCUACAUGUAGUUCAGUUUGAGUCCAUCAACACUCCAACCAGGGCAACUGGUUGCCAAAGUUCUGGGGGCAAUGUAAUCGUGCCAAAAUUCCCGAAUGAGUUAGCGCUAGGGUGAAUCGUUUCGUGUGAGUGAAACCGAUUCUAGCUUCGUGACACUCGUAUAAAUGUGCAUCGUAACAUUCUAUGAAAAUGUUAAUCCCUGUGAAUCUCUUGUAGCUCUUAUAGUGUGACAGAUCACAACUAUCACUAGGGUUGCAUCUUGAGACUCCUCAUUUUGUACAAAGCAAGUAAUCAUGAAGAAAUUUGUGUUCAUUCCAAUUUAGGGACUUCUUUUGCAUAGAUUAGGGAAGACUCACAUAAAAUCUCUCUAGUUAAUGCAAAAACAGCUCCAAAAUUGUUCCAUAAGGAGCACCUAUGUUUUCUUCACAAGUAGGUGGGUUCUUGCAAUUCCAUAUAAGGUAAAUGCAAGUAUAUUUUCAUCACUCUACUGAGAAAAUAUUUCAACCAUGAGUAAACAUGGAAUUACUUGCACCUUGAACAAUCAUUUUUCCACGAAGGAUCUUAUGUCAACCCUAUGGUGAUAUAAGAACCAAAAUGAUGUUUUAUGGACAUUGUUCGAUUUGGACAAUCAUCCACUUCUCGGAUAAACUACGCAUUAAUGCUUUGUGAAUAACGGGCAUACACCAUUUUAUUACAAAUACUGAUGAGUUUAUAUAUAAACACCUCAAAACUGGUAUUUAUAUCAUUCUUUAUUCACAUACGUGUGUCAUACAUGCCACUACUUAAUUAGCGCAUAUAUGCACGAGAAGUUCAAGUCCAAUAUAUUGCAUUCUCGAUUACGUACGAACUGACGUCAUAUUUUUGCACUUUUAAAUGAAUUAUUUUGAAUUAUUAAUUAUUUUCAACCUUAAAUAAAUACCACAAUUAAAUAUAAAAAAAUUAUGGCUACGUUUGGUAUCGCAUAUUGUCUGCUUUUCUAUAAAAUCAGUAUCUAAUUCAAGGUUUAUUAAGUGAUUCAAAUGUUAUUUUCAUGAACUUUCAUGAGUUGUCACAAGUAUUUAUAUACAUUCAUCAUGAGUCACAGUUAGUGUAUCACAAAAUUCGUUAGUACUGUGACACACAUAUACAUUCUAAAUCAAACAACUUUGGCCAUAGCAAACCAAAAGUUCAUCUCCCUGCAAAGUUAACAUAUCUAGUUUCAAAAAGGACAUGCCACAAAUGAUUUUUCAAAAUGUGCUUAAUGGUUCAUCGAGCAUAUAUUCGUAAAAAGCGUCUAACACUUCUAAACUUCAUACGACCACAUCAUAUUACUAUUUUGAGUUGGCUGUGAAGUUGGCAUAGGAUGAACAUUUCAAUUGUAUCAGGUACAACAGGCAGCAGUGCUCAUCACGCCCCAAUCCCGAGAUACGUUUAGGAUCGACACAUGACGUCACCAUGUACCUAUUCAUCUAUCAUGCCUCGCCUCUAAGACAUGACCAAAAGCAAAAUAGCAGUCAACAGAGCAUUAACUUGUUCUUUUAUAUCAUGACUACAUCUAACCUUUGUGUUAGACUGCUUACGUACCUUAAGACAUGAUCAAACCAUUUGUAAUUCAUCCUUUUGUUAAAUCUGACAAUUUUCAUAAUAUUUCUAGCAGAAAAACUAGGGUUCCAAAAUCACUCAAUGGAAUCUGCAAGCAUGACUCACUAGAUUCCAGACUACUUAAUGAACAAUAUAAUAACCAGGAUUGUCAUUUUGGCUUUCAUAUGUCACAAUGUUUUCCAAUCACAAUUCCACAUUCAUAACAAAUAAUUGAUUCCAUGAAUCAAAGAUGCACACUAUUAACAUUUAACUAUGUUGAUCAACCAACAAGAUCAGCUAUGACUUCACUAAUUUUCAUAAAGACAACCUCUAUAAGGUUUGUCAUAUAUCCUAACUUGAAACCAAAGCAAUAGCAUUGUAACCCUAAGUUACAAACACAAACAUAAACAUAAACUUGAGCAACUUCAAUGCACAAUAAUCUAGGGUUCUAGACCACUCAACAUAACCAAAUAGGGAUAGGGAUUCCAGACCACUCAAUGGAAUCCAUCUUUAGAAUGUGUAUGGUCCCUCAAAUGCAGAUUAACCAAGCAUGUGACCAAGUAGGCAGUGACCCCCAAUACAGAUUAACCAGGGCGUCACCCCUAGAAUGUGUAUGGUCCCACAAUGCGGAUUAACCAGGUAGGACCAUAAAUAAGUAUCCAAAAAUGUGAUCCCCCAAUAUAGAUUAACAUGGUAGGAUCACCUAUGCUGUAAUCAAGUAAGCAGUGACCCCUUAAUGCAGAUUAACUAGGCGGAGUCACCCCUAGAGUGUAUAUGGUCCCUUAAUGCGAAAUAACCAGGUAGGACUAUGGGUAUGCUUCCAUAGUGUGAUUCCCAAAUGCGGAUUAACCAGGCAUAUGGUUAACUCACAAAUACUUUGUCGUCGAAGAGCCACGCAAACUAGAGAAGACGGAAACUAGAGGUGGACAAACGGGUCUAGGAACCGCAGGUCGGGGAGAGUACCGGCCGGUUCUUAAUUUUAAAAAAGAGAAACAGGGCAGGGUGGGGUGGGCCUUUGUAAUUUUUGGUUCAGGCCAGUUCCCGAAGUAUAGGAACCACGAGUACCCGGACCGGCCCGUUUGUAAUUGAAAUAAAAGGACAAUAUUGAAAAGAUCAUUUCUCCAUCCAAUCUUAACCAUUAGUUUUAGGUUUCCUCGUCUUCGACCUCGACUCUGUCACUUGACUCGAAUCCUCGAACUCGAUUCCGUCUCCCACAGUAUCUCUCCAAAGCCAGUGCCUUGUCGACAACCCAAUCAAUCGACGAUUGUUGGUGCUGCGAAGACUGGAGCAACAACUCAAUCUCACCAGUCACCCCUCUCAAGUCUUAUCGUCACCAACCAUGUCGUCGUCGUCGAAGAAGAUCACGCUUAAGAUCUCGGACGGCGAGUCGUUCUAGGUCGAUAAGGAGGUGGCACUGGAGUCGCAAAUCAUCAAGCACAUGAUCGAGGAUGAUUGCGCCAACAAUGGCAUAUCGACGCCGCCAAGCCCGAUGAGAAGAUCUCCAAGGACGAUCUCAAAGCCUGGGAUCAUAAUUUGGUUUGAUUCUAGGGUUUCAGAAUUUGGGGAUUCGGUUGGGUUAAGGUUUUUUUUUUAUUUAAUGAUUGGGGUCAGUUGUGUUGUUUUAGGGUCUAGGGUUACUGAUUUAGGGGUUUGAUCAAUGGGUUAGGGUUUUUCAUUUUUCUUCUGCAAUUUUAUUUCUUUAGAAAUUCAAUUUUUUUUAUUUAUUUAGGUAUUCAUUGGAUUUGGUCGAUGUGAAGCUAAUGUAAGGUGAAUGAUUACUGAUCUAGAGAGUUGGCAGUGGAGAUGGGCAGUUGCAGACCUUUUCGUGUUUGAUUUCGAGCGGUGCAACCAUGGGUAGUGGUGGGAGCUGUUCUUCUAGUUUAGGACAUAGUUUGGACUCAGCCUUAAGGACUAGUGAUGCAGCAUCUACCACCACUACACAAAGACAAAACCAUUACGAGGAAGCUCGGCAAGAAGAUGACUAAGACAAGGAUGUCCAGGAAGAAAGUGGUGGUCCAGACCCGGAACGAUCAAGAGAGUUAAAGAAGAAGAGAAGAAAAAAAAAACCAAGGACUCGUGGACCCGCCUCAAACCAGCCCGUUUCAACCGGGCUAGGUAAGGUCCAGUUCCUAUAUUAAAAAAUAUAAUCCUCGGCCCGGCCUGUGCCCAUCCCUAAUGGAAACGCCACAAAUAAUUGCCCUUAAGACAAAUAAUUGCCCAUAAGCACAUAAAGGGUCCAAUUAAUAAAACUCUUUUCAAACGAUUGAAUUUGGGAAAACGGACGUAAAAAACGGAUUCAAGAUGUUGAAUUAACCUAAGAAGGGUCUCAGGUAAAUUUCAAAAAAGUCAACAAAAGUCAACAAGAAUAAUAUUCCAGGAAUAUUCUGUCCGGUCACUAGGCUGGGUCAAAGGCUGGUCAACAGGCCGGGCCUGGGUCAAAGGCUAAUGGGCCGGCUUCUAUGGCCCAAAGGCAUGGGGUCAUUUGGGUUUGGGCUAGGUCUUAACGGGUUUUGGGUUUGGCUAAGUGGCCCGAGGGCCUUAGGUUCAAAUGACCCAAGGCCUGGGUUUAAUGGGCUAAAAAGCUCAUGUCAUCUCAGCCCGAAAGACUAAGGUCCAAAGGGUUGUAAUGGUUUGGGUUUUGGGGUUAAUGGGCCGAAGGCCUUAGUUGGUACGGCCCAAGGGCCUAAGUUCACAGGGACUUAGGCUUGGGGUUAAGUAGGUUGGGUAGGUCAUUUUUUGGUCGGCUGGUCUCGUCGAAAAAGAAAGUAGGAGCUUCCAAGCUCCGAUUAACCCACAACUCAGCAAAAAUCCAUCAACCCUUAUACUAAAAUAAAGUUACGAAGGAGAUGAUUAGAACUAUACCUAUCGGUUAGAAAAUGGCCUGUAACUUAUGGGGUUUGCCGAAAAAUAUGGAGAAUGCUUCCAGAGUUGUUCCUACGUUCAAAUGUUACCAAGGUUCUCAAAACCACCCUAAAACGUGAUCUAAAGGGAUCCUAGAAAGCUUACCUUAGUUGCACUGUCAAAAAUUUGUCGGUGACAUGCAAGCACAGUAAUUGUGCUCUAGUGCGGACCAGGAAGAAAGGGAAAGUGAUCGAGGGAGGGGUGAAGGAGAAAAUGAUGGUCCAGGGGGUGGUGGUUGUGUGUAAGUAUGUAAAUGUGGGUGUGUGUGUAGGAGUGCGUCAGAGAGGAACAGAGAGAGUCGACAGAGGUGGAAGGUGAGAGAGAGAGAGAGAGAGAGAGAAAGAAAGAGAAUAGAGAACCAAGAGAGGUAAGGGAGAAAGAUAAGAAGAUAGGCUGGGGGAACAACCCAAAAGUAAAUGGGGGCCCCUUGGGCACACCUAUUAAGGUAUAAACCAAUAUUUCAAACAAUUAUCCUCCAACCAAGAUGAAAUUACAACUCUGCCCCUUUCGUUCCGUAAAAAUCUGGGACGGGUUGUUACAUAUGUUCUUCCAAGAAUAUAUAGGCACAAUCUGCCUUACAUCCAGCUUUUUAGCUAUGCAUCUAGAACUCCAACCAAGGGUUCACAAUAUAAUUCGAAACUCCAAAAGAUUAAACCAUUGAAAGACAAGCGAGGAGAACUAGCCGAACUUGGCUAGCUCUGAAUCAAGCACACAACUUGAAGGCCAUUCUAGAGAAGUUAUUCUAGAAUGAUCCACUCAUGGUUUGUUGGUAACUACCCAUCUUCGAAGUGGAGUGUACUCUCAGAAGCAAUUAAGGGCAAUUGGGGACCAUGAUUAAUGGCAAGAAGGACCGGAACACUCAAAGCCCAAUGAGCAUAGUUCGACAAGCUAGGCUUAGGGCUAUUAAAAAGAUUACUUGUCUCCCAAUUAAGAAAACUCUAAUUAAAGUCAAACUAGGAUAUCUUAGACAUUAGGCAACAUAAUCAAGAUUCUAAGAGAACUGGGUAUCUUAUCAUAGAUUUCCUCCUAGAUUGUCUCCCGAUUUAAUGAAGAUUACCUUCCCUACAAAGACUUUCAAGAUCACUAUAAAUACAUGAGCAUAUGCAUUUAUAGGAGACACAUCUAUCUCUCUCUGAGAUUUCUAUAUACAUAUUCUCUUUAUGCCUAACAAAGGCCCUUUACGCCACCGUCUAGGCGUAGACAUGUCCAUGGAGAACUCAUGUUCUUAACGCCCUGCCAUAGGAUAUUCGGCAAGGAUGGUUCGCACCAUUAUUCCUUAGAACUACACCCGUGGUUUGGUUCUCCUUCCAAGAAAUAUGUAGGCAGUCUUAUUGGGAAUUAACCACACCCCUAAUUAACCUCAUUCUCCCCUUACCAGAGAUUAGGGGCAAUCUCGAUGAGUUUGGCCUUCAUCCGCGGAUGUGAGCGGAUUGGUUCCAACAUUGAGCUUUGCGCCCAACGACAUGUAUUAAAUUUAUCUUCUCUAGUUGGUUCACCUAACCGUCACCUAGAAACCAUCUCCCGAAAAUGCAAAGUGUUGAUCCAUACGACCAAACACUGAGAUGACUCUGCGAAAUGAGAACUUUCACUCUGCAAUGCUCUGCGAAAUGAGAACUUUCACUCUGCAAUGCAAGCUAUGCUAAUGAUAAGAAAUCUGACGGGCCACUCAGAAUAAAAAAAUGGCUCCCUCUCCGAGGAAAUAAGAGUCCCCGACGACUCUUCUCACUCCAUAGAUGGUGACAUGGUCUUAGUAACUACAUCAUUAAGGCACUCCGUGGGCAUAGUUGGUGGCAAUUGUGGGAACCCAGUUUGCACCUUCCUAGAGCAGUGAGUAUUCGAACCCACUCCAGGGCUCCGACCUAGAGUGAACUUAGCAACUAAUCAAUAUGAACUCAGCAACUAAUCAAUCUACCAACUAAGGGUGCAACACCUUUGGUGGUUCCCAAUACAAUCUCACAUGCCCACUUAGGACGAAGUGGGUAUCAAAGGCACUUUGCACCAGGUUCAGUCACACUCCCCUUUUUGGCGCCAAUUACCUCAUCGCAUCCAGACUCUUUGACCUCUGCCACACUAAAGCUCGGGCAAAGCAAAUCACAUGGGCGACGUCACAGGUGAUGCACAUUGAGGCAAAUGGCACUGACCUCAGGCGACUGUGUUAAACAGUAGAGACCCUUGAAUUGACAUAGUCAAGUGGCUGAGAGGUAAGCUCCCACUUUCGCACAGUCCCUCCAUGAUACCACCGGUCCCCAAAAUGGCUCAUUCAUCGUAUAUAAAUAGGCAUCCCGACUCCUCACAAAAGGUUAGACAAUAUAAACUCAACUUAUACACUAACUACGCAUUUUCCCACCUAAAUCUAUACAUCACUUGAUCAUCGAAGUACCUAUGCCGGGAACCACCCUCCCCGAUGCUCGACUUCACAAUCCUUUGUUUAUCUUUGUGUUUGCAGAUUCGAUCAUCCUGCCAUGCACAGAAUCGAGACCUAGGCAAUAUUACCUUGGUUGAGUGAACUAUUCCAAGCAUGCAAGUGACUUGUAGUUUAGUUGGUUAAGAGUCUUCACCCUUACAUCUAAGGUCUCCUGUUUGAAUUCCCCUCCCUAUAGUUUAAUAUAGAUAUCUUGUCGUUUAAUAUAGAACAUUAGUGUGUCGGGUCGUGUUUGGAAAAAUAUCUCACCUUGCUGAGAGUCGUGAGACCCAACCAACACAUGAGACAUAAAAAAAUGAGUGCAACAUGAUCAAACCCAGCCAACAUGUGAAAUAUGGGAGGAUGGGUCUCACUUCAUGAAGCCCAAUCAAUCUGUGAAAUGUAGGAGAUAUUAUUUUAACUUGGUCAAACCUAUCAACACUUGAGGCUUACAAGAAUAGAUGGGUUUCCCUUAGCCUCACCUACCUUAGACAUCUCAAUUAAAGGAUUCAAGUGGAGUUUUGAUGGAUUUUAAUGGAUUCAUAAAAUCAAGAAAAAAAAAUGAAAUGGUUAUCAAACUGCCGAUUAGUUUCUAAUAGGAUUAAAUAUAUGCACACAUUGAGAAUCAUGACAAGUCUAAUCAAAUACAUUGAAAGAGACUCGUAACCCUUUUUUAUUUUUUAUUUUUUUUUUUGAGAAAAUGUAUGAUAGUUGUUAUCAAAAGGAGUAUGUAUAAUCAAUGAGGAUAAGGUGCAUACAAUAAGCCUCGAUAAAAACCUUAUCAUUUAAGUAAAGCACAUAAUCACCGCUUAGUAUUAUGAUCUAAUGAUAUUCCUCUUCACUUGAAUGUGAAAGCUCUUAAGUUUGAAUCUCAUGGAUGGCUGAUUCGAUACCAAACUAGGUUACCCAUUGUGUGGCUUUGCCGAACUCUCCAUCCUCUUAAUGUAAAAAUAUCGAUAUACUAAAAAUAAAAAAUAAAAUAAAAAAAAUAAAUAAAAAAAAAAAGGGUAGAGCACAUAAUCUGAUAACAACAUAUGCCUAAUUUUCUUUCAAUCCAAAUAAUCAUUAUAGUAGAACCGCAGUGUUUCCAUACUACAAAUAUUAUGUAUAUUUGACCCAAUCAAUAUUAGUUCACCAACAGAAUAAAAUGAACCACAAUCACUUAACUGUGAUUUCAAUUUUCAAUACUCUAAUGAAAGGACAAGUAAAAAAAAAAAUUAACUUGGCGAAAGGAUUAUCAAUCUACAUGCUAAAGAAUUUUCAAUUUUCCAUGGGCAACUGAAGUCUUUGCAUGCUCCAAGCUACACAACGCUUUUUGAGUUCCGCUCAACCCAGAACAUGAUGGACUGCCUCCUAAUGUGACAGCAAAGUAAAGGUAAAUGGUGCAGAGGAAUGUCAGGAGUGCUAGGGCUGUUAAGAGGAAGCGGUGUCUCUGAAAGAGCGUCGACCAGCUACCCAACUCAUUUUGUGAGAAUUGCUUUCUAAAUGAUGCUGACUUCCGAACAGGAGAAGACAAAAUGGUGUCAAGAACCAUUGUAUAAUAUGUACCGACCUUCUUCAGACAACCUGAAAUUUGCACAAAUGUGUGUUCAAUACGACAGCUAAAUCAAUUGCUACUGCUAACAAUACACUGAAUUGACAAUGGCCACAAAAGACGUCACACAUAGAGAUCAAGGACAGUUAAACAAAGAGAUCAAGAGGAUAUAGUUGAAGAUACAUGACCAUACCAAAAGUAUGACUGAGUUUAACAAAUUUGUCUUUGUUUAUAAUCAACAACAGUUGCAUUUUGACUGGAUACCAUGAAAAAAUACCAAGAAGAUAAUCAUACAAUUUACAAGUGAAAUUCUCCAGCCAUUUUUCAGAUGAGAAAUAUGCCAACGAGAAGCAUUUCCAACAAAUGCAAUUAAUACCCUCAAACAAGUGAGGGUGUGAGAGAAUUAUGCUGUACGUGAUACUCUCCCAUACUGUAAAUACUUCACCUCUAUUGAAGAUGGACAGGUACAACUACUGAGAGUUCAUUGAGAACCUAAUGAUAAAAAUAUUUCAUACUACCCUGGUUGUUAUGACAAUAUUCCAGAACUUGACACUUCAUCUUUGACAAAGCAAAGGCAGUGCAGAAGAAGAACCAUUAUGAAGCAAGCAAUUCUGAUAGCAUUAAAAUAAACUUGCAAUACAAAGACAAUGUGUGCUUUCAUUCACCAGAGAUACAUCAUGAUUAACAACAGCUGACCUCAAUUUAAUAACAGAAAACAAAUAAUUCCACCUUGAAGUUUAGAAUGCGCUUCAUAUCUCAAAAGACAAUAAUAUAAUGAGAGGCAGACAUGAACAGAUGACUUUACAAUGAAAUAUGCGUGAGCCUGGUUUUUGAAAGUUAGUCCUCAUUUUCCAUAAGAUUAAUAAGUUGCAAAUCCCUCCCAAUUACUCGUACUAUGAAAGCUACCCCUAAUAAUCAAGAGCCAUCAACUUUCUACUGAGCUAAAGCAGCCUAACCACGUCACUGAGGUCAACAAAGGAUUUCCAGAAAGAAGCAUUAAAACUAAUACUGGAUCAUAUGGGUGACAGUGGAUUAGAAGACAACAAAAGAGCCUACUGGCUCAAUAAAAUAAUAAGCUCAUGCAUUAGCAAAUAAUAAAUACAGGUUUUCCUCGAACAGGAAAAAUGCAUGAGAACCAUACUUCUUGAAAAGGAAUUAGAAAGAAAGCUAACGUCUGUAGAAAUGUCUUUGCAUGCGUUUCAACCUAUUGCAACGUGUAAGGGAACACAACAUUUGCAAAACCAUACUGACUUACAUAUCUACAAAAGGGAAUCUUUGAAGGAAAAUUGCAUGUAGAAAAUGACAUAGGCUUGAAAAUGAAAAUCUUUCUCCAACUUUACUAUAAACACUCCAAAAAUCGCAAAGUGCAUCCAGUAUAUUAUGAGACCAGAAACAUUAAAAAUGCAACACACAUACAUCUACCAACAAUAGAAAUUCGGAACUCACAAGGGUUGACUGAAGAAGAUAACUGCUGCCACGUAGGGGCACACAAAUAAAUAUUCUCCUUUCAUAUCCAUAAAGCUAAAUACAGGAGACGAAAUUCUAAAACUCUUCAGAUGGCAGAUUGGCCCUAACUCAGAAAAGAAAAACCUCGUUCUGUGAUUACAAGCGGGUCUAAUUUUGUAUAAUAUCAAAGCAGAUAAUUGGUAUAUUUAACUUACUGAAAACAACAAACAACAACAACAAAGCCUUUCCCCACUAAGUGGGGUCGGCUAUAUGAAUCCUAGAACGCCAUUGCGCUCGGUUUUGUGUCAUGUCAUCCGUUAGAUCCAAGUACUCUAAGUCUUUUCUUAGAGUCUCUUCCAAAGUUUUCCUAGGUCUUCCUCUACCCCUUCGGCCCUGAACCUCUGUCCCGUAGUCACAUCUUCGAACCGGAGUGUCAGUCGGCCUUCUUUGCACAUGUCCAAAUCACCGGAGCCGAUUUUUCUCUCUCUUUCCUACAAUUUCGGCUACUCCUACUUUACCUCGGAUAUCCUCAUUCCCAAUCUUAUCCUUUCUCGUGUGCCCACACAUCCCACGAAGCAUCCUCAUCUCCGCUACACCCAUUUUGUGUGUACGUGUUGAUGCUUCACCGCCCAACAUUCUGUGCCAUACAACAUCGCUGGCCUUAUUGCCAUCCUAUAAAAUUUUCCCUUGAGCUUCAGUGGCCUACGACGGUCACACAACACGCCGGAUGCGCUCUUACACUUCAUCCAUCCAGCUCGUAUUCUAUGGUUGAGAUUUCCAUCUAAUUCUCCGUUCUCUUGCAAGAUAGAUCCUAGGUAGCGAAAACGGUCGCUUUUUGUGAUCUUCGCUAGAUUGCUCCGGUCAUUAGUGUGGAUAAGUAUAUAAAUGGAUAGAGAUAGGAAAGCAAACACAAGAUGUACGUGGUUCACCCAGAUUGGCUACGUCCACGGAAUAGAAGAGUUCUCAUUAAUUGUGAAGGGUUUACACAAGUACAUAGGUUCAAGCUCUCCUUUAGUGAGUACAAGUGAAUGAUUUAGUACAAAUGACAUUAGGAAAUAUUGUGGGAGAAUGAUCUCGUAAUCACGAAACUUCUAAGUAUCGGAGUGUGGUGUCGUCUUGACUUGCCUUAUCUGUCUCAUAGGUAGAUGUGGCAUCUUCUCUGGAAUUACUUUUCCUCCAUCCAGGGGUGGUAUCUUUAACUGGUGGAGAUGCACAAGGUAAUGUAUCAAUUUCACUUGAAGCUUACUUGUAGUUUCAGGCUUGGUCAAGCGCGAUACAAACCAUGUAGUAGGAGUCCCCCAAGUCGCCGAGCUAGGGGGUCUGCUGAAAGAGGUGACAGACAAGGUAAGCAAUCAGAGCUCCGACUGAUUGUUCACCUUCUCCCCAUCUUGCAACAGCAUGAAGGAUAAAGAGAAGAAAAAUGAGAAGAGAUGAUAUGAGAUACUUUUGCUUUUGAAGAAGUAACUUUCCACAGGCUUAUUCUUGAACUGAGCUGGAGGGUUUUCUGGUUUCCUCCAGAGUAUAAGGCCGACUGAAGAAUUUGAGGGUCAAAACAAGUCCAUCAAAUCUAGAGUACGUUCCACCCUGCUGAUAUGGGAUACUUUUGCUUUUGACAGAGAGUAAUGGAUGUAUCGGCACGUGUGCUGUUACGCUUGUCUCCACAUGCUUCCUUGUAUCCUUCGCACUUGCCCUAUCUGUUCCUCAAGCAGAUGCGGAAUCUUCCUUGGAAACAUAAGAUGUUGAAGAUGAGUACUCGAGAGCAAUGCCAGGUAAGUAAUCAGGUAAGGGGUUCCAGGCAGUCAGUUCCUGGCUGGAAGCUUGAUUCCAAGUGCUGACUGAUUGCUCUCUUUCUCCUUGUCUUGCAGGUAAAAACAAGGCCAAAGGAAAAGAUAGGGAAAAAGCAUGAUAUGGGAUACUCUUGCUUUUAAACCCUGAUGAUAUGAGAUAUUCUUGCUCUAGUAUAGCUUGUUUGCAGAGGUAUUAUCGGGGGAAAGAAAGCUGAAUAUUUCGAAAGGCUUCGUUGGGAGUGCCCUCUCAGAUAUGAUGAAGGGUUGAGCAUUUUUGCAGGUCUGCCUGUCCGUUGGGGAUGGAGGUUGACAUAUAUAGGCGUCUCCCUAACAACAAGUAGUAAUGCUAUUCCUUUACCCUGCUUGGUCAUAGCACGGUAGUGGGAGCUGUCAGUUUCACAUGUUUUAACUCUUUUCAGAGCACUUUGAAAAAGUGGUCUGUGGUAUCUGGCUCUCGAGAUUCGGAGAACGAUGCCUCUUCGAUUUUUGAGAAAGCAAUCAUGCUGGGGGUCUGGCUCUCGAGAUUCGGAGGGCGGUGCCUCUUCGAUUUUGGAGCAAGCAAUCUUGUUGGGAGUGUUGUCUCGAAUUUGAGUAAAGGUUGGGCAUGUUUGCUAGUCUACCUUGCCACGAAGCACAAAGGUUGACACACAGGGACUUUCCAAUUAUCCAGCAAUGGUACUGUUCCUUUACCCUCUCUUCGAUUUUGAGAAAGUAGUCAUGUUGGGAGUCUGGCUCUCGAGAUUCGGAGGACGGUGCCUCUUCGAUUUUGGAGCAAGCAAUCUUGUUGGGAGUGUUUUCUCGAAUGUGAGUAAAGGUUGGGCAUGUUUGCUAGUCUACCUUGCCACGAAGCACAGAGGUUGACACACAGGGACUUUCCAAUUAUCCAGCAGUGGUACUGUUCCUUUACCCUUGUGGGUAAUAUUAUUAUGGUAGCUAGACCUUCAAAAUUUAUGUGUCUAAACUUUGUUAGUGCUGUUUCUUUGCUAUUCUUUUACCUUUCUUGGUCAGAGCGAUGUAGUGGGAGCUGCAAGCUUCACGUGCUCAACUUUGGCAGAGAGAACUUUGACAAAGUUAUCUGUGGUACCCAUGAGCUAUUGUUGCGUGUGGGAAGUGGUGGGUAAUUGAACAGUAAGAUUCAUGUGCUUUCUACUUCACUAGAAAUCUUCGACAGAAUGCCCAUAAUUUCUGCAAAGCUGAGUGUGCGUGUGACAGGUGCUGACAAGGCUAGAAAAGUAGGUGCCUCUUCGAUUUCUGAGAUCGGCCCUCGUGGUCUCUGAGCAGCCCAGCUUUUGAGAAAGUGAGCGCCUCUUCGAUUGAUUCGGAGAACGAUGCCUCAUCGAUUUUUGAGAAAACAAUCAUGCUGGGGGUUUGGCUCUCGAAGAUUCGGGGAGCAGUGUCUCUUCGAUUUUUGAGAAAGUAAUCAUGUUGGGAGUCUGGCUCUCGAGAUUCGGAAGGCGGUGCCUCUUCGAUUUUGGAGCAAGCAAUCUUGUUGGGAGUGUUUUCUCGAAUGUGAGUAAAGGUUGGGCAUGUUUGCUAGUCUACCUUGCCACGAAGCACAGAGGUUGACACACAGGGACUUUCCAAUUAUCCAGCAGUGGUACUGUUCCUUUACCCUUGUGGGUAAUAAUAUGGUAGCUAGACCUUCAAAAUUUAUGGGUCUAAACUUUGUUAGUGCUGUUUCUUUGCUAUUCUUUUACCCUUCUUGGUCAGAGCGAUGUAGUGGGAGCUGCAAGCUUCACGUGCUCAACUUUGGCAGAGAACUUUGGCAAAGUUAUCUGUGGUACCCAUGAGCUAUUGUUGCGUGUGGGAAGUGGGUGAUUGAACAGUAAGAUUCAUGUGUUUUCUACUUCCCCAGAAGUCUUCGACAGAAUGCCCAUAAUUUCCGCAAAGCUGAGUGUGCGUGUGACAGGUGCUGACAAGGCUGGAAAAAUAGGUGCCUCUUCGAUUUCUGAGAUCGGCCCUCGUGGUCUCUGGGGAGCCCAGCUUUUGAGAAAGCGAGCGCCUCUUCGAUUUCUGAGAUCGGCCUUCGUGGUCUUUGAGCAGCCCAACUUUUGAGAAAGCAAAAGCCUCUUCGAUUUCUGAGAUCAACCCUCGUGAUCUCUAAGCAGCUCCAGCUUUUGAGAAAGCAAACGCCUCUUCGAUUUCUGAGCAGGCGCCUCUUCGAUUUCUGAAGCUCCGUCGAGUGCAGAUUUUUAUAGGGGCUGGCAUUAAGUUCUAAAGCACACUUGAAUCUCCACCAGUAGAAGCUUCAUUUUUGCACUUCUAAGAUCUUGAUUUGUCCGACCUCUUCUCUCUUCAACACCUUUGAAAAUGUCUGGCCCCUCCGACCAUCGUUUUGACUUGAACCUUGUUGAAGAGGCAGCCCCGCCUUCUCCAGACAACAUAUGGCGCCCAUCCUUCGUCUCCCCUACUGGUCCUCUUACCGUUGGGGAUUCCGUGAUGAAGAAUGAUAUGACCGCUGCGGUGGUGGCCAGGAACCUUCUCACUCCCAAAGAUAACAGACUACUUUCCAAACGGUCUGAUGAGUUAGCUGUUAAGGAUUCGCUGGCUCUCAGUGUUCAGUGUGCAGGUUCUGUGUCUAAUAUGGCCCAACGCCUAUUUGCUCGAACCCGCCAAGUUGAAUCAUUGGCGGCUGAAGUGAUGAGUCUCAAACAGGAGAUUAGAGGGCUCAAGCAUGAGAAUAAACAGUUGCACCGGCUCGCACAUGACUAUGCUACAAACAUGAAGAGGAAGCUUGACCAGAUGAAGGAAACUGAUGGUCAGGUUUUACUUGAUCAUCAGAGAUUUGUGGGUUUGUUCCAAAGGCAUUUAUUGCCUUCGUCUUCUGGGGCUGUGUACCGCGUAAUGAAGCUCCAAAUGAUCAACCUCUGAUGCCUCCUCCUUCUAGGGUUCUGUCCAGUACUGAGGCUCCAAAUGAUCCCCCUCCGGUGCCUUCUCUUUCUGGGGCUCUACCGACUGCUGAGACUUCUCCUAAGCAACCUUUGUGAAGGCUCCCUCUUGUGUGUUUAUUUUGACUCAUGUAUAUGUACAUAUUUGUAGCUUAUCGGGGAUAUCAAUAAAUAAGCUUUCCUUCAUUUCAACGUAUUAUUGUGUUAAAUACACCAAAGCCUUCUUCGCUAAGUUCUUUGAAUUUUCUUUUGUUGAAGCUUGUAUGUUGAAGCUUUCUGAGUGGAGCAUGUAGGUUGGGGUAGUGUUCCCUUAAUUUCCCGAGUGAGGAAAACUUCUCGGUUGGAGACUUGGAAAAUCCAAGUCACUGAGUGGGAUCGGCUAUAUGAAUCUUAGAACGCCAUUGUGCUCGAUCCUGUGUCAUGUCCUUCGUUAGAUCCAAGUACUCUAAGUCUUUUCUUAGAGUCUCUUCCAAAGUUUUCCUAGGUCUUCCUCUACCCCUUCGGCCCUGAACCUCUGUCCCAUAGUCGCAUCUACUUUCAAGCAAGAUUCUGAAAAUGCUUACCUAAUGACUGGAUGUUUGAGGAGCCAGUAAAUCCAAUGUAUCUUUGUACGCAUUGGCUGCUCUGUAAUUUGCUUUAAUUAAUAGACUUGUGCUUCUUAUGAAAAUAAAAAUAAUAAUAGUGACAAGCCAACAUUGUUUAUAAGUUAAACUUAACCAGAAAGCCAGGUUAGUUCCGCUUCAAAUAAAAUACGAAUUCAUAGCAGCACCAUGCAGUCAAGCGAAUUGUCACAAUCAAACUGAACGAGAAACACACUUAAAACAACAGGCACAAUCCAACCACACACAUCACCCAUCCCUUGAAAACAAUUCCAAAUUAAAUUAGCGAAUUUGCGGGGUUUUGUGAGAUCCCCAUUCCCAACAGCACAUCAUGCCCCAAAAACAUGGAAAUGGCAGCAGCAUUACCAGUGAUCUGAGGGGCAUUAAUCUAAUUCACCAACUCAAGAAUUGACCUCCCACCUAAUGUUAUUAUCUCAAAGGAGCUAAAUCAGGAUCCUUUUUCGCUUUCACGUUGUUCUCACGAUGCAAUUACAACAACACCUCAGACGACAAAACCACUUGACAUUUACAAUCAAGAAUCUCUAAAUCAAACCCACAACCCCAAAUCACGCCAUUCUCACAAAACCCAUAUCCAUAAAAACUCUAAUUAAAAGAAAAACAACCAUCAAUUUAAAAAGAGGACAACAGAAAAAAGCAAACCAAAGAAAACCCAGGUAAGCAGGAGCUCAGAUCCGAAGGAGAUGAAAGGGAAAAGACGAGGGAGACUUACAGAUGAUUGGAUCACGAAUUUUCUUUUUCUUUUAGUUUUGUUGCCGUUUCCGUUGGGUCUCCUGAGUCGUCGUCGUCGUCGACUUCUCCCUUUUAUUGUGCGAAGGGAUCAGAAGAGAUGAGAGAGAAAGUGGGGUGUUUUGACCACAAAUAGAUCAAACAAUAAACAAUAAACGACACAAACAGAAGGUGUUUUAGCGCCUUUUCUCAACGCUCGAGGGCCGUUUUAGGGGUGGUUUGGGUAGGCCUGGGCAAAAAUUACGGAGAACCGAACCCGGGCGGUUCGGUUUUUUUUUCGGUUCAUUUCGGUAUAGGUUCAAAAUCGGUUCGGUUUGGUGCUUAGUCGGUUCGGUUUCGGUUCUAUGUUUAGUACCGAACCGUACCAAAUCAGUUUUUUAAUAAAAAUUAUUUGUUCACGUGGCUUGUUUCAAGUGGACGACCACUCCUCCACUUUUAUCACUCUCAGACUCGGACUCUCACUUUUCUCACUCUCGGACUCUCACUUUUCUCAAUUGCCGAAGUCAUUAGGUCUCUCUCUCUCAAUCGCCCGCUCCACCUCCUCCUCUCCAAUCUCUCACGAUUUCACGGUCUCACCUCCACCACAACCAUCUUGACAUCGUCUUCUCUCAUGGUAAGUCAAUCUCUUGAAUUUGUUUGCAUUUUAUAAAAUUAGGGUUUUAAUUUUUAGAUUCAAAUUGGGAUUGGAAUUGGGGUUUCUCUGAAAUUCAAAUCUCUUUCGGUAUAAUUUUUUUUCUUGUGAGGUGAUUUCUGAUUGUGCAUAACUGUAACCCUUUAGGACCGUAGAACUUGUAGUUCAAGCAGCCUUAACUUAAGUGUUUCUAUCUGGGAUAACUUGUAGUUCCUGGUUAGGUUUAUGUUGCUCGCCAAAACAGAACUAAUUGAGGUUUUGCAUGAGCAAUCAAACAACAUACAGAUUGUGGGAGUUAAAUUUAUUUAGUUAUUUCUCCUUAGUAUUUCUUUGUGUGAUGAAUUUGCAGUACAAUUGUUUGUAAUGUAAUGGGGCUGCUGUCAAUUUAUUUGUCAUUGUCUAUUUAUUUGUCAUUGUCAAUUUAGUAUUUCUUUGUGUGAUGACUAUGCAGUACGAUUGUUUGUAAUGUAAUGGGGCUGCUGCCAAUUUAUUUGUCAUUGUCAAUUUAGUAUUUCUUUGUGUGAUGACUGCUGCCAAUUUAUUUAGUUAUGGAAUCGGAUGGUUUUGAGUAUCUCAUUAUUUGUAAUGUAAUGGGGCUGCUGCCACAGAACCAAAUCAAUCCCAUCAUUUGUAAUGUAAAUAUUGGUGUGAUGACUAUGCAGUACGAUUGUUUGUAAUGUAAUGGGGUUGCUGUCAUUAUUUUUUUGGACAUAAUGAUUCACAAAUUGAUAUUUUUGUAUUGAUUGGAUGCAGGCUUCGGACCGUGUAGAUUCUAUAGAUGAUGCAAUUGAUUUGGAAUAUGAAUCGGGGGGAAGCAAAUGUGAGGCCGAAAGUGAAGGAGAUCAAGAGGAGGUAAGUGUCUCCCAACUCCUACAGGGUAAACGUAGUAAGGUUUGGGAGCAUUUUAGGCCUUAUCAAGUUAAGACCCUAAUAAGCCUCAAGGAUCGAGAAGGGAAUGUUGUAAAAGAUGAAAAUGAUGAACUGGUAAUGGUUCCACAUGUAAGACUUAGGGCUAAAUGUGUCUAUUGCCCGGAACAUACAAAUGAUGGUGACUAUGCGGCUGAUUCAAGCACUAAUGAUACAUCUGGAAUGAGAAAACAUCUUAAUCGACAAUGUAAAUAUUAUCAUGCCAACUUAAGGAAAAAUCAAAAACUUCUUUAUGAGGAGAAGAAAGGGGGUAAAACUUUGGUUAAUAGGGAGUUUAACCAAUCCGAUUGUUUGGAAGCAUAUGUGGAGAUGAUUGUUCUUGAUGAGGUACCCUUUAGUACCGUAGAAAAGAUAGGGUUCAAUAGAUUUUGUAGUGUUGCAUGUCCAUUAUUUCGUGUGCCUUUUAGGAGGACUCUUGUUAGAACUUUCCUUAGAAUGUAUGCACAAUCUAAGGAUAGUUUGAAAAAGGAAUUGCAUGCGCACCGAAUUUCUCUUACCAUCGACACUUGGACAAGCACUCAAAACAUCAAUUAUAUGGUUCUCACCGCACACUUUAUUGAUGAUGAAUGGAAUAUGCAUAAGAGGAUCAUUAAUUUUUGUCUUAUUGCUAACCACACGGGAGCCACAAUAGCUAAGUUGAUUGAAACUUGUUUGUUGGAAUGGGGCAUAGAUAAAGUGCUCACCAUCACGGUGGACAAUGCUUCCGCAAAUAAAGUUGCAUUGGAUCAACUUAGGUCAACGAUGAAUAGGUGGGAAAAUUCACAAGCCAUUUUGCAUGGGGAGUAUUUACAUGUGAGGUGUGUCGCUCACAUAACCAAUUUAAUUGUGGGUCAAGGGAUGAAAAGGCUAACCAAAUGCCUCUUAGCCAUAAGAAAUUGUGUGAGAUUUGUGAGGAGCUCUGCACAAAGGUUAGAGUAUUUCAAGCAAGCCGUGUUUAUGGAGAAGUUAACAUGUAAAGCAAGUGUUUGCUUAGAUUGCUCCACAAGAUGGAAUUCCACAUUUCAUAUGUUGAAAGUAGCCAUAAAGUUUAAGAAGGUCUUUGCUAGGAUGGGGGAGGAAAGUGAUACUCCUUUUAGUGUGUAUUUCAAAGAAUUUGAAAAAGGAUGAAGAUGGAAUAGUAGUUAUUAAAGGUCAAAGAAGGGUUGGACCACCAACUGGAGAAGAUUGGGAAAAGGCGGAGGUGUUUGUUCGGUUUUUGCGGGUUUUUUAUGAGGUGACAUUACGGGUGAGUCAUUCUUUGAUCCCCACGGCUCAUACCGCUCUCCAUGAUGUUAUCAAAAUAGAGACGGCUAUCAAGAAUUUGGUUCCCCCACCCAAUGUGCAAACUGGUUCACCAAUAGAGGUACUUUUAAAGCAAAUGGCAACCGACAUGAGAGCAAAGCAUGACAAAUAUUUUGGUUCUUACCUUCAAUUGAACAAUUUGCUAGUGGUUGCUCUUAUUUUAAAUCCAAGGUUCAAGUUAAGGCAUGUCACUCACCUCCUUAAAAAGCAAUUAUUGGAAGUUGAUGUACAUUUGAAAACUAAGGAGAUAAGAGAUGUGUUGGAUGCCCUUUACAAAGAAUAUGCCCCAAGGGUUGAUGGGGGGAAGCACAUGAAGGUCCCCACACCUCCUCGAGAGCCUUCUUCUACUUCACGUGUUGUUGAAUCCUUUGAAGAUGAUUGUGUAGAUGAUUGGAUUGAUUUUGUAGAAGAGAGUGAGGAGCAAGUGGUGGGAGAUAAGGUGGAUUCAUAUUUGUUGGAUCCUUUGGAGAAGGUGGGCAAAGAAACCAAGGGUGUUUUUAAAAUUCUUUCAUGGUGGAAGACUAAUGGUUGCAAAUAUCCUAUAUUGGCGGCCAUUGCAAAAGACAUAUUUGCUAUUCAAGCAUCUACCGUGGCUUCGGAGAGUGCUUUUAGUACCGGGGGGGGAGUAAUUUCGGAUUUUAGGAGUUCUUUAACUCCUAAAUCGGUGGAGGCCUUAAUUUGCAUGCAUAAUUGGAUGAGAGGUGAUGGUAUUAUCACCUUAGAAGAUGAUGCACCUUCGUUGGAGCACUUAGAGUUCUACGAAAGUAUUGAAGUGGGUAAUUUCUUAUUUCUCUUCUUAGUUCUUGUUUGUUAUAAUUUUUUAGAUUUUAUUCUUUGUAUUUACAAGUUGUCUAUAUUUUUGUACUAUUGUAGAGUUGUUGACAUCAAGCAUCUCUUCUCUCUCAAUUAAUAAUCCGGAAUAACAAGCGUCAUCUUCACAACCUCUUACCCGACCUUCUCAAGCAUCCGCUUCACAAGCUUCUACCCGACCUCCUCGAGCUUCAAAAGGUGCUCAAUCAAAGGUCCCUUCAAAGCCUCACAUACCUCUAACCAAGGGUGUCAAGCGUAAGGCCCCUAAAGGGUAAUUGCUUUUAUUUUAUAUGAAUUGAACUUAUUAGUUAUUAAGGCAUUUAGUUUGAUGUUUGCUAUUACAUUUGGGUUGUAUUAAUGCCAUAAGGCUUUGACUUGAACUUUGAUUUUUCCUUUUGGUUUGUACUAAUGCCAUAAGGCAUUUACUUGAACUUUGUUGUUGGAUUGAAUUUGUUUAUGUUUGAUGUUGUUGAAUUUAAUUUUUUGAUGUUUGAUGUUGUCGGAUUGAAUUGUUGAUGGGAUUGAAUUUUUUGGAUGUUUUCCCCAACCAAAUGGUCAUAUUUUACUUUGGCAAAGGGAAGGAGAGAGGGAGAUUGCAUAUAUAUAAAGCUAGCAUAUAUUUUCAAGCAUCCUGAGCAUAAGUAAGGUAUUUUCAAGCAUUUUUUUUUGGGCCAAAAAUUGAUUUGGGCCAAAAUCUGUUUGUGAAUCUGGCCAAAAAUUGAUUUAUGUUAAUUUUGGGCCAAAAUUUGAUUUGGGCAUUUUUUUUUACAAAAUUUGAAAAAUAGGCCUUGUUCCUCAUAGGCCCAAAACCGAACCGAACCUAUACCCAUACCGAACCGAACUGAACCUAUUAGGUUCGGUACUACAUCGAUACAACCAUUCAUACCGUACCGAAAGUUUGUUACGGGUUCGGUUUCGGUACUACCUCGGUACCGAACCGUGCCCAAGCCUAGGUUUGGGAGUGAGGUGCUUAAAAAAAACACUCAUGAAAAAAAGCUGUGAGGGUUUUAGGUGUUUGGUAAAUUGAAAAAAAAUGGCUUAUUUUGGAAGCUGCUGUGAGAAUAAGUUGAAAUCAAAGGAAAAAGCUGAAGCUGCUAUUUGUAGCUUUGGAAAACUGGUUUUUUUUCAAAGCACACGGAGCUACAUUGCUCCUUCAAUGAAAAGACUCAAUAUCAGACUGCUUUGUUUUUCAAAAGCACUUUUACAAAAAAGUUUACCAAACACUCUGCUGAUUUUUUUCACAGCCGCUUAUUCUCACAGCACAGCCGCUUAUUCUCACAGCAGUUUUUUUUCAAAGCAUAGCAAUACCAAACCAGCCCUUAAUAUCCUAGAUAGGCGCAUCGCGCACAGGCGUUAGUGCGUUUUCCUUCCUUUCAUUGCUAUCGCUUUUGCUUAGGGUGGUGCUAUCACUCGUUUUGCUUAGGGUGGUGCUAUCACACGUUUUUUUUUUCACCUCUCAGAGCAACUUCACCGUUGCAAAUGCCCUCUACGGCUAUUCACUAUUUAAUUCACCUAGUAAACAAUAACUACCUUUUACAUCUUCAUCCAUACACUAAAUAGCCUUGGCAAUAUGCAAUAAAAUAUUAGUAUUUUUUAUAUUUAUAAAGUAAUACAAAAUAAUUUUAUUUGUAAUUUCGGAUAAGAUUUUUAAUCGUUUUCGUUGCGCCACGUGUCAUUAUCCGAAAAGACAAUUAUUGAUGAUGGACUUCGAUAAGAUUUUUGUCCAAUGUUGUCGUGCCACAUGUCGUUACCUUUUCAGAAUCGUUGAGGAUAGAUUUUCGAUAACAUUUUUAAUCAAUCAUGUCGCGCCACAUGUCACAAUCUGUUUACAAUCUUUGAGAAUAGAUUUCGAUUAGAUUUUUAACAAAUGACGGCAUGCCACGUGGCAUUAUCUACAACCUAAUCCUUUCUGAAUCCUCCAUAUAAUCCACCAUCCAUCCUCAUAAAUCUCACACCAAUUUUCUCAAGAUUUCUAUCAUUAUUCAUAGUUUCUGCUUCAUUCUUCACCAAAAUCAAAAUCUGUAUUAUUAUUCAUAGUUUCUGCUUCCUUCUUACAAUGCCUUCUUCUUCAAGAAUGAUGUGGGAAAUCGAUCAGCAAGAGGAAUAAUUGUUUAACCAAUCAAAAGGAAUGCUCAAUCUCCAGGUGGCCCAAAAUGAGAUGGAAGAUGAUGAGGAGCGUAGAAUGAGGGAUGAUGAAGUAAGAAUGACAAGAGCCUCACAUUCCCGUCGAGUCAUCCAAGCUGUGGCUCAGAUCUGCAGGCCCAGCCAUUCUGCAAACCUUGAUAGAAGCAGGCAAAGAUGAGGUACGGAUCACUUGGACGAUUAUUUUGUCUGUAACAGUGCAUUCCCUGAUACGUACUUUAGACGUCAUUUUAGAAUGAAACGACAUUUGUUCAACAAAAUCAUGAUUGUUGUUUGCAACCAUGAUUCUUACUUUGUGUAAAAGAAUGAUGCUUUUGGUGUUAUGGGUCUCCUUCCUGAGCAAAAAACUAAUGCUGCAUUGCAGAUGCUUGCAUAUGGAGUAUCUGCAGACCAAGUGGAUGAGAUAGCGAGGAUAGGGAAAUCAACCAUUUUUGAGUCCCUUAUGAGGUUUUGUGGAGCAAUCAAAUCUAUCUACACCGCCUCCAGAGACCUACUGAGAUGGACUUGCAAAGGCUUCUGAAGAAGGUCGAGAUGCUAGAUUUUCCUGGGAUGAUUGGAAGCAUCGACUGUAUGCACUGGACCUGGAAAAACUAUCCAAGUGCAUGACAAAGCGCUUAUGGGGACAGAAAAUGAGCAAAAAGUAUCAUUUUGGAGGCGGUGGCAUCUUUUGAUACAUGGAUCCUUUUUCGGGGUUCCGAGAGCACAAAAUGACCUCAAUGUCCUUGCCCAAUCCCCAAUGUUCAAUGAUGUCCUGCAAGGAAAAGCACCAAGAGUCACGUACUAGGUCAACAGACAUAAGUACUACAGGCCAUACUACCUAGUAGGCUGCAUUACCUAAGGUGGUCAUCGUUUGUCAAAACAGUGCAACAUUCGCGAAGUGCAAAGGAAAAACACUUUGCAAGCUGUCAAGCAGAGUGCAGAAAGGAUGUGGAUCGUUGUUUUGGUAUCCUCCAAUCUUGUUGGGCAAUUGUCAAAGGUGCUGCCAAAAUUUUGAUUUAGAGUCGCUUCGAUCUAUCAUGAUGACAUGCAUCAUUCUUCACCACAUGAUUGUGGAAGAUGAGUACGAUUAUGAUGUUGUUGAUGAAUAUGAGCCAGACACGAUGACCAAUUCCAGAACACAAAUAUAUUGUGUUCAUGACGCCACCGAAGAACCCGUGCAACAUGAGCCAUUAGAAAGGGAUAAACGUUACAAUGAAAGGCUCAUUCAACGAUAUACUGCCCUUUAGGAGCCAUAUAUGCACAAUGCCAAGCAAAUUGACUUGAUAGAGCACUAGUGGGAAUUGAAAUAAGCUCAAGAUACUUAAAUUCAUUUAGUGUGUUUGUUUUUAUUUGGUGUGUUUAUUUAAUUUUAUUUGGUGUGUUUUUUAAGUUCAUUUAGUGAGUUUUUUUUUAUUAUUUGGUAUGUUUAUGUAAUUUUAUUUGGUGUGUUUUUUAAGUUCAUUUAGUGAGUUUUUUAUUAUUUGGUAUGUUUAUGUAAUUUUAUUGGUGUGUUUAUGUCAUUUGAAUAAAGAUUGUCUUAGUUUAAAUAAAUUACCAAAUUAAAUAAAUAUACUCUUAGUUUAAAUAAAGUACUCUAUUCAAUAAAUAAGAAAUCACAACCCAAAGUGAUUGAAAAAUUAUGGGCUCCGAUUACAAACAAAGUGAUUGGAAAAUUAUAGGCUCGUGAAUGGAAAAUCAUCACCUAACCAAUUUGUGGUGCUAGGAUCAUCUUCUCUUGUGGUGCUAGGACCAUUUCCUCUUGCUCUCGCUUCUCUUGCAUGCCUCAUUCGCAUCACGUCCGCUUUCUCCGAAUUCCAAAAAUAUUUAGAAUUCGGAGACUUCCCUUCUAAAGGCGUGUUCAUUAUGUCACGAUCUCGUUGAGCCCUUCUUUCUUCUAUAAUAUCUUCCCUUUCUUGCCUAAGUAGCUCUCUUCUCUCUCAUUAGCUUGAAAUUCUCUCUCAACGACUGCAGUUUUUGCCUCCUCUCUAGCUUAUCAGCCUCAAAUUUAGCCAUUUCCCUCACCAAAGUCAAUUCACCUUGGCGAGCAAGUUCUUCCAUAUACUUUGCAUAUCAUUCGUCGAAGCACUCCCUUUUCUCUUUGAAGCCUUCUUACCUUGAGGCCUAAUUGGAUAACGGGUUGACCCCAACGCUUGUUCAGGUGGGGGCGUUUCGGGCACUUCUUCUACGUCAUCUUCAUGAACGACAUGAUCGGGCGUAGAGUGUAGAGGGGUGCUGGUCAUGAAAACUUCUGGACCGACAGACACAACUCUAAAUUUAGGACAAUCUUUGACAAUAUUCCAACAUUCCCACCGGUUGAAUGAUUUGUUUUUGCUUUUGGUUUUGGCAAUAUACCAAGCUUGUGCUUGAAGUGUCUACACAAUGCGGGAGAAAAAAUAAUUAUAAUCAAAGUAGGUAAUGUAAAUUUGGGUAUAGUACAAACAAAUAAAUAAUAUAUUGUUACCUGAUCCGCUAAAUUUUCCCCACUUCGAAGAAUACCACUAGCUUGUGCCAAGGUGUCUCUUCACAUACUAAACGAUUGGCUGAGUAUUCUCCAACGACUUGACAUCAAUUCUUUGGUUCUUUUCCCACCAAUUUUCUCAAGAUAAUUGCAUGAAUAAGACUAUAUUUUUCGCAACUGCAUCUCAUUACCCGUAAUCGGAUCAUGAGUAACUUCAACCCAGCUAGUACACAAUGUAACAUCUUCAAUAAGCAUCCAAUUUGUACUUGCAUCAUUAGUCAUUUUGUUGGAAAAAAAAUUGGAUUGAAACUUCGAGAGAAAGAUAGGAAUGUGGUUGAAACUAGUUGACAAAAUAUGAAAUUGUGGUGUAAGGUAGAAGAUAAUGAGAAUGUAUUUAUAGAAAAGUAAAAUCAUUUUUUUUUCGAAUUUUCAUUAAUUUUUUACAUUUUUUAAAUUUUUUAUUCACAUAAUUAAUUUCUGCCGUUGGAUUAAAAAAAUUUGAAUUCCAACACUCCAGAUUAUGCCACGUGGCACAACGGUAAGAUUUCAAAAUUUUAAAUUGUUUUUUUCUUUUUUUUUUAAUUUAUAAAGCCGAAUAACGUGGACCGUUGAUUUCAGAUCCAACGGCUGAAAUUAAAUAAGGUUUUAAAUUUUUUUUUACUGUUGGAAAUCCAACGGUCUAUAAAAUGUUAUCGUUGAAAUCCAACGAACGUGGGGAAGCCAUGUGGCUUCCCCAACGGUAACAUUUCAUAAAAGCACCACGGGCCCCAUGUCUAAAACUGUGUCGGACGAGGCACGCCCAUGUACGCUUGAAGCGCACGCGCCUGACCCAAAAAAGAGAGAAAACGUGGCUGACGUCGCCCUGAUGUAAGCCUUGCAUCAUACCCAUUCCAGGCUUUCGGGCUAGCGACUCCCCAAGGGCCUCUCGCUCGAGUCCCCUUUCAUCCACACACUUCUGUGGGCUGGAAUGACACACCCUGACCCGCGAUGUCCACUAGGACUCCGAAUCGAGCUGUGCUGGCCGACACCUGGAAGGUGACGAAGCCAUAAAGUAUGAUAAUGUGGAAAAUGUGAAUAAAUUUAAACCUAAAAGUGCCUAAAAACCAGAGUGCGCUGGUGAGCAAGAAUGAACCCACUUCAGACGUGACGUUAGAGCAUAAGUAAGUACAGUAGAGUGGAUUAAGAAUCAUACCCUCCAAAGAAAUCUCCAAUACUAAGAUUUGCCACGAAUCCUUGACGAUAAGAAAGCUUAGCUAAUAAAACCUGAAGGGUGAAAACAAAACAAAGGUGAGUGGCCCUAGAAAUAAAAUUUUUAAUAGAAGCCUUCUAAAACGUUAUAACCCCUCGAUGCAACACCUAUAUAGUUUCCAAAAAAUCAUAUCAUGUAUCAAUGUGAAAUAAAAAAUAUAUCAACAAUAAUUUCAUAAAUAUACCACGACACAACAACUCAUCAGUAAUAUAAAUAAUCAUGUGCUUAAUAAUCUAUAUUAGCACGCAAGUCGGAGUCACCUAAUGUGACCUGUACGACUGCACCUAUAUCUCAUCAAUCAACGCUAGCACAUAAGUCGGAGUUACCUAUAGUGACCUGUACAACUUAUCCAUAUCCCAUCAAUCAACGCUAGUACAUAAGUCGGAGUCACCUAUAGUGACCUGUACUACUUAUCCAUAUCUCAUCAAUCAAUAUCCCAGUAAUAUGUCAGCCGGAUCAACCUAUUGUGGCUUGUACAGCUGAAUCCAUAGCUCAUCACAUAUCCCUGCACACGAGUCGGAACCACCUUUUGUGGUCUGUACGACAGGCUGGGUGUAAAUAAUUACGCUCAAGUGCUACAAUUACGUGAAAGUUGUGCAAAGUAUCGCAAGUCAUCUACGAGUCGAAACCACCUAAUGUAGUCUGUACGACAAGCUGGCACCUACCUUGAAUCCAAGGUGAGCGUGUGGCGCGGGAGGUGAACAAUCAUGUGAAGGCUAGGCCCUGUCCUCGGGAGAGAGCACUAACACCGGGGUGCAGGGUUAUGAGCUCUAAAUGCAUCUAAUAUGGCAUGUACGACUCAUAGACAACCAGUACGACAAUGUCGGAGUUGCUUAAAACAUAAAUAUAGUCAUGCCAUCACUCAAUUGUUCCAAAUAAAAUGUAAUCAUAACCAUAUAUCCCACAUUUCACAACAUAUACUCACCUGAACUUAUCUGUGCAUCCUGCAUUCACCUUUGUACUUUAAAGCAUUCACAAUAAUUAUGCGCAAUAAAAUACUUAUGGAUAUGCCUAAUGUAAUCCAAAACUUAACCAUAUCGGAGUGCUUCCAAAUAUAUAUAUAUAUAUAGGGAUGUGAUAUCCACACACCUCAUUUUACUUCUCACACACCUUUUUAAUUUUUGGCCGUCAGAUCGGAUGAAUUGAAGAAGAUCAACGGACAGAAAUUAUCAAGGGUGUGUGAGAAGUAAAAUGGGGUGUGUGGAUAGCACACCCCUAUAUAUAUAUAUAUAUAUAUAUAUAUAUAUAUAUAUAUAUAUAUAUAUAUAUAUAUAUCAAUAAUGUGGCGUAAAAUACACAAUUUAUAACGCCCUACUCCCGAACUAUUAAUUGUCAGGAAUAAUUAUCAGUGACAAGCUUAACUAUACACUAAUUUGACUAACUAUCAAUUCUUAUGAUUCUUUACUUCAAUUUCUCGAUCCUUCACACAAUGAUUUAUGACCAACAUCCAAUCACUACGUCAUAAGGUUAAACCUCACAUUUUCCACCAAUGUCCCUCACAUUGCACAAUUUCCCAAACAAGGCUAUUGUCUCAAUUAUUUAGUCUCAUUUAUGGUAUGGCUACAUCUAACGUCUGGUUAGACUGCCUACGUACCCUAAACAGGGAUCAAGCCAUUUGUAGUUUGCAUUAGUACUUCAAGGCAUUCACAGUAAUUAUAUGCAAUAAUCAAUUUAUAACCGUUUGUGGAAUUAUCAAUCAUAUAUAUAUAUAUAUAUAUAUACACGAUAGAAAAGAAAAGACCCACUCACCUGAGGCCUACACUACGACUCCCUAGCACACAUAUCGAGACAUCACGAACCAUCGUCGCCUAGAACAAUUAUCAAAUCACAUCUUAGAGUUCUUACCAAUAGAAUACAUAAUUUACAUAAAACACAUCCCUACGUAAUUCAAUUCGGAAGAUCUGUAUCACAGAUUUCCGAUCCAUUUCUUCCAAAGAUCCACAUUAUACUUCUAGAACAACAUCAUAAAGUUCCAUUACAAUCUAACGGUCGGAUCUUCGCCAAUUGCCAAAACCAUGUGGUGGUUAACCUUUUAUUUUGUGAACUUACAAAUCCAAUUUGGGAAGAUCCGUAUAUCGGAUUCCCGAUCCGUAAGUUCCUAUGGUCCUCAAAUAUUACAUACUAUAACAUAUUAAAGUUUAGUGACGAUCCAACGGUCGGAUCGUCAAUUCAUAUCUUUACCAAGUAACGUAUCCUAAUGAGUUUAGGUCCAAACGAUCAACCUACAAUAUACAAUUUCCAAAACUAAACUCAAGACAUCUAAUUUAGCCUAAGGAUAACAUCAACCGUCUCCUGACCACUCGCCGCCGCGGGUGGCGGUUGGCUGUCCCGACUCGUCGGAAAAUCCAACUAUUUCCAAAAAUUACCAAAAUUUACAGGAAUGAAGAUCUCAAUGAGUAGAGUAACUUGCAUACCUAUGACCGAGGCCAAAUAGGCCAGGAAGAGCUUCAAUUUCAUAAAAACCCAUCAGAAACCCUAUACUUAGGUGUGCUCGAUUCGACCUCCAAACUUGCUCCAACGCCUCCACCACUGCCUGGGCUUUGUUCCUGGGUUCUAGGAGAGUGUUCUAGUGGUGGUAAUUGGCUGAGUUAGCUUCACAUUUUGUGGAUUGCCGCCGUACACCUACACACACCACCGGUGCAUUUUUCCUAAAAUUACCACCAAAUUCCUUCUAAUUUUGGAUGGAAAUGGAAGAAGGAAGGUUAGGAAGAUGUUUCUAGGUGGUGGUUUGCUUUGAUUUGCCAGAAAAAUGACCGAAUAUGGCCGUGGUGCUUGUUGGGUCGAGCUGGUCAAGGGGAAACUCGGUUUUCCCCUUCACUUUCUUCUCCCUCCUUUCCCCUUUCUCUGGUUGGUCACCUUCUCCUCUCUCCUCUCCCCAUUCGUCCACCCUCUCUCUCUUCUUUCUAAUUGGGCAGUAGCCCUUCUUUCUUCUCUUCUCUUUUUCCCCCCUUCUUCUUUCUCUUAUUCUUCCUCUUUAAAAAUAACUAAAUGAUAAAUAAAUAUAAACAUUAUAAAAAUAUAUAAAUAGUGACUAAAACAAAAGUACUUCUUGAGUUUACAGUUCCAUAAAACUUUAACCGUAACCCCAAAUCCUCUUCUGCUUGCGCCUACAAAGCUGUAAUGUUGAGUACUUUAGGAAAACGCUAAAGGAUUAAUUCAUACACCUCACUAUACGCUGAUCAACGAAAGUCAAUGCCCUUACCUCUACGGGCAUUUUCGUAAAAUCAUGAUUUUAAAAUUAAUAAAAAAGUAAAAUUUAGGACGGGUUGUCACAUGGAGCAUGCAGCUCGGGCCAUUGGGUUGGUGGGGAAGCCUGUCCAUUAGGCUAUUUAGCACGGUGGAGGUGCUCUUAUAUAUUUUCUCAUAAUUUAUGUUUAUUAGUUUUCUUUAAUUCAUUCGAAAAUUGACAAAAAAUAUGAAAGAUAAAAAUAUGGAUAGCAUUAAAGAUUUUAUCAUAUGUAAGAAUAUGACACUCAUAUGAAAAAGUGAAAAGAUCCAUGCAAAAGUUGCUAGCACUCCCUUUUUCUUUAUUAUAUGCAAAAACUGAAAAGGAGAAUCAAACCUAAACCGUUAUGAUAGAGUAAAGAUUUUUAACCAAUUGGAACUACAAACUCUUUGUUAUCUCAUUUCUUUGAAUAAAUGAAAGAUAUAUUGAGUUAUAUGGACAUUUUUUUUCAUUAUAAGCACAAACCGAACAGAGAAACUGAACAAAGAACCUAUUAUGUAAAAACAAAUAUUGUAAUCACUUAAACUACCAGUCCUUUAUUAUAUAAUAGUAUUGAAAAUAUUGAAAAACAGAAGAUUUUUUGACACACCCCGUCCCGAAGGAGGGCAUGCUGGCCGUCACGUGAGAGUGACGUAACCAUUUACACAGUUCGGAAGCUUUAAAAAAAUACAAUUACUACGAUGAAACACCCGAGGGUGAGUCAUACUUUUGUGAAUUCUGUCAGAACACUGUUGGAUUCCUCGUGGCCACCAAAGCUCUGCUAUCUAGAACCUGAAGGGGCGCAAAACAAAGUUAAAUGGGUCAGUAAAACAAAGUUUUUUGAAAACAUUUCAUUUAAAACAUUUCUAACCCCUCGCUGUAAAACCUGUAUACUUUCCCAGAAAAUAACAUAAUAACAUAUACCUUCAAAUAUCUCAAAUCAUCAAUCUUUAUCAAAACCAGAAAAUAUGCCAUGUCAUAAUGUCAAAAACAGAAUAUGGAUGCAUCAAUAUAACAGGUGAAAUAAGGAAUCAACCGGAGACCCUGCAGUUGGUCCUGUACGGUUAAUUCUAUAGCUCAAUAUCCAAUCCAACUGGAGUCACCACGGUGACCUGUACGGUGUUACUCUGCACAUAAGUCGGAACUACCAGAAGUAGUCUGUACGACAAGAAUGGUGUAAUAAUACACUCUAGUGCUUCUCUCAUCAAUCAUCUGUGCACAUAAUCUAAGGUCACCUACCAGUCGGAACCACCUCUAGUGGUCUGUACGACUAGCAUGUCGGAACCCUCUCAUGGUCUGUACGACAUGCACCUACUUGGAUCCAAGGUGAGCGUGCGGUGCGGUGAAUAAUAUAAGCACUAACAUCAGGGGUGCAGGUUAUGAGCUCUCAACACAAUUCACAUCAUCAAUGAUUCACAUGUAUAACAUAAAACUCACAUGUGCGUCCACAGCACCAAUUCACAUAUAUAUAUGCAUCAAUUAUCAAUUCAUAUAUCUCAUAAUAUGCAUGCAUGGCAUUUUAAAACAUACUUCAUUUAAAUUCAAUUUCUGGGAAAAAUCAAUAGUAUAUAAGUAAAUACAGAAAAUAACUGCCCACUCACCUGGAGUUCGCCCAACAACUCCCUAGCACAACACAUCAAGGCGUCAUGACGAUCGGCGCCAAGAAUAAUAAUCAAAUCCAACCUCAGAAAUCAUAUCGAUAGAAUAUAUAACUUAUAUAAAACACGUCACUACGUAGUUCGAUCCGGAAGAUCUGCAACUCAGAUUUCAAAUCCUCUGGUUGGGCAGUUUUGCCCAAUCUCUUCUUCUUCUUCUUCUUCUUACGCACACACACAAACCUUCUUUCUUCUCAUCCCAGCCAUCCAUUUAUUUCUUCAUUAAAUCUGGGCCGUCCACUUUCAUAAAAGAAAUUCAAGAUUUUACUAAAUUAUAAUUCCUAAAAUGCCCAAAUUUCAAACGUUAAUAAAUUCUUCGAUAUAACUCCAAAUCACGCACCGUCUGCGCCCACGCGUCCGUAGCGACGAGUACUACGAGGAAAUGUUAAGAAAACAAAUCUUAGAUGGCACGACACAACGAUUAACCUCGAAUAAUGCGCGUGCCUCAAAGGGCAUUUUUUGUAAAAUCCUUUAUUAAAACUUUAAAACUCUUAAAAUCAGGGACGGGCUGUCACAAUCUACCCACCUUAAAAAAUUUCGUCCUCGAAAUUACACAAUCUUUGCAAUCCAUCGAUAUCCAUAAAACAACCUGGAACACAUCCCUCUCAUUCGAUCUUUUGUCUCCCAAGUAGUUUUUUCUGCUGAAUGAUUCCUCCAUAAAACUUUUACCAAGUACACUGUUUUAUUUCUCACGACUUCCUCUUUCUAUUCCAAAAUAAUCAUGGUUUCCUCAUUAUAAGUCAAAUCCGGAUUAAUCUCUAAGGGCUGAACCGGAAUCAUACAUGACGAAUCUGCUACUUUGUAACGAAGCAUCAAAACAUGAACUACACUAUACACCUUAUCCAAUCCCGAAGGUACUCAAACUUGAAAGUAUUUCACCGAUUCCUUCAAUAGUCAAAGACGACCUGAUGUACUUAGGAUUUAACUUGUCUUCCAUUUCCACCCGAACCGCACCUUUCCAAGGUGAUAAUUUAAAAAACAUCCAAUCUCCUGCAUUACACGUCCGGUCAAUGGCAUGUUUGUCUGCUAAGCUCUUUAACCGAUCCUGGCUCACUUCCAGGUUAGACUUAAUUACUUGAAUAUUCCGAGUAGUCUCCUCCACUAACUCAGGGCCUUGAAUACCAUCCGUCCACAAUUCUAACAAUAUCGAAACACAAGACACAACUUUCCACGGCCUUAUGGCGUUGCUCUAGAGAACAAACUGAAAGGAUCAACAUACCCAAGAAGUUCAACAGAUCCGUAAGCCCAAAUCUUUUUUCCAUAAGACAGAUAAAUAACUGUUGCACUUCAGGAAAGGUUACAGCUCUUUCAUUGAAAAAUACUGCGCUGAUUUAGUAAGCCAAUCAAUUAUCACCUCAAUUUCAUCAUAACUAUCUCGUGAACGAGGAAACUUGCACACAUAAUCUAUAUUAAUAUUUUCUCAUUUCCGUUGUGGAACGGGAAGUAACUACAUCAAUCCAAAAGACUUCUUUCUUUCCAUUUUAACCUGCUGACAGAUGUUACAUCUAUUUAUAUACAAACAUUUCUCUUUUCAUACCUGACCAAUAGUAAAAUAAUCGAAUGGUGUAAUACAUCUUAGUACCUCCAGGAUGCAUUGUAUAAGUUGAACAGUACGCAAAUUCCAAAAUUGCUUCCUUUAAUUCCAUAACAUUAGGUAUAAACACCUUGUUCUCUUGCAUAAGCUUACCAUCUGAUUCUCUAACUCUGAGGUCUUUCUUUUUCCCGUUAUUCCUUGCUUUAUAUAAAUUCUUGAAUUUCUUCGUCAAACGCUUGAGUCUCGAGUACGACCUACCAAAUAAGCCUAACUUGAAAAUUAGCAAGUACAUUUUCUUUUCGAUCUUCCAUUCCCAACUUUACUCCAGUAGAUCUCAAAUCCACAAGAAGAUGAACAUGGCAAUCGCACCAAGCAUUAAUUCUCGUUGGGGUCUUCCUACUGAAAGCAUUGGCCACAACAUUUGCACGAUCACCCUGGUCGUGCAAUCAUAAUCACUAAGCAACUCAAUCCACCUUCGUUGCCUAAGAUUAAGAUACCUCUGAAUAAACAGAUAUUGGAUACUCUUUUGAUUCGUAAAAAUCUUGCACUUUUCUUCCCAUAAAGACAAUGUCUCCAAAUCUUCAAAGCAAAGAUGAUAGUUGCUAAUUCUAAAUCAUGAGUAGGGUAAUUCAUCUCAUGAGGUUUCAAUUGUCGUGAAGUGUAGCAAUCACUCUAAUAUGUUGCAUCAACAUACAUCCUAACCCAUUCAAGGAUGCAUCACUGUAGACCUCAUAAUUACCUUUAUCAUCUGGGAAUGCUAAAACAGGUGUAUGAGUGAGAUAAUGCUUCAGUUGCCGAAACUUUGUUCACAAUUUUCAUCCACUCAAACCUAACCUCUUUUCUAGUCGAUCCCAUCAAUGGCAAAGCAAUGACUGAAAAAUCCUUUACAAACGUCUAUAGUAGCCUGCUAAACCAAGAAACCCAGUACCUCAGUGACGGUUCGAGGUUGUUCCCAAUUCUCCCCAGUUGUCACUCAUUGAGGAUCUACUUGAAUACCUUAUGUAGAUAUCACAUGUCCCAAAAAUGCCACUUGAUUAGUCCAAAAUUGACAUUUGCUAAACUUAGCAUACAAGCAAUGUUCCCUCAAACAUUUUAACACCAACUCAAAAUGACUAGUAUGCUUUACUUUCACUUAAGAGUAUACCAGACCUCAACUCUUUCCUUGAAAACACAUAGGCACCUCUAAGCUGAUCAAACAAUCAUCAAUGCGCAGCAAUGGAUAACGGUUCUUACUCAUUACUCGAUUCAAUUACCUAAUAUCCAUACAUAUUCUUAAGGUCCUGUCUUUCUUCCUUAUAAACAAAGCUGGGGUUUUCCAAAGUAACGUACUAGGUUGACUGAAACCUUUAUCAACCAAUUCCUGUGACUAAAUUUUCAAUUCCUUUAACUUUGUAGGAACCAAUCUAUAGCAUAAAGUCUGUACUUGGAAACAAUUCAAUAGUGAACAGCACAUCUCUGUCUGGUGGCAAUCCAUGUAAAUCAUUCUGGAAACAUAUUAGGAAAAUGUCUACCACUCGUACGUCAUCCACAAUACUAGGAGUACGAUCCUGCAACACCACAUGAGCUAGGUAUCCUUGGCAACCUUUUGAUAACAAUCUCUUUGCUCUCACAACAGAAAUAACGGCAUGCCUCACUCCACUUUACUCAAUCACAAAAGUAACCUCUGAUAAUCCAAGACAAUGGAAAGUAACUGAUUUCCCCGUAGCAAUCCAUAUUGGCACGAUUAUAAUGUAACCAAUCUGUGCUUAAAAUCACAUCGAAAUCCACAAUGUCUAACGGGAUACGAUUCGCUGGCAUAACUAUUUCUUCCACCAUCAUUGGACACCCUGAAUAGUCAUAACCGACAUGGAAUGACCUACCUGUUUACUUGCUUAACGAAUCCAACAAAUAAGUUAUGGAUAUUACGGUCUGCAGCCUGCAAUAACGAUAACGUACUGUCGUCUCGAUAAGUAAGCAACAAUUCUUAAGGGUGCAAUAUUAUCAUUUUACUCCUCACAGGGAAAAUACAUAUAUACGCCUCAAUCGUGCUCAUUCACUACUUCCUUUGGCAACAUCGUCAAUAAUAAGAAUUAUAUCAGUCGGAGUCAGCUAGAAUGACCUGUACGGCUAAGUCUACAGCUCGACCAUCCAUGUUAGCACAUAAGUCGAAGUCACCUAUAGUGACCUGUACGACUUACUCAUCAAUUUUCCAAGUAAUAUGUCAAGGAAGACUGUUGGGUAACAACUGAUCCUAUGGACAAUUCAUACCUCUAUGUCUCAUCUAACCAUAUGAACACAUUCACAACUUCCCACACUCUCCAAAAUGCCUAAUAUUGUACCUACGGUACAAAGAUACAUUUCCUCUACCGGAGUCACCUUGUCUCUGAGAUCUGGGAUGACUAGUAAAUCUAUCACUUCGCCUCUGUCCAGUGGCACUAAAACCUCAGCUGGGAAAAUUAGCUCUAGUUUCAUUUCUUUUGAAGCUCUGAGUCUUCCGAGGUCUUUGAUAUAACGGAUCUUUAACUUUAUCGUCUUUCUUCUGAUUCUCAUUCUUUUCUUAUUCCUCUUUACUCUCGCUGAUCAUGUUCUCAGAGUCCUCAAUGCUCAACAACAUCUCGUAAACUCCUGGUAAAAAGUACAAUGAAUAGUGGUCGCCAAAGAACGCCACUUCUUCUUAUUAUCCAGCCAAAAACGACAUAACACCUCGACUGGAUUAGCAACAACAUCCGAAUGGAAACAAGGCAAGUCUGUAAACUCUAUAAUAAUAUGUCGGAGGAAUGAACUUUUCCUUAAACAAUUCUUUAAACGACUUCCAAACAGCUGUUCUUCCGAUGACAUCGGAUAACAUUCUUAUCUCCAUCAGAAUGCAGAUUCAACACUCAGAAACUAGGUAGUCAUCUCGACCCACCUGUCGGAAGGAAGAUUCCCUUGACUUUGCAUAAUCCAAAACGUCUUUUCCCAAAUGAUUAAGCCAUCGAUCUGCUCCCUUAGGUUCUUCAUUUCCCUAAAGUGAUUCAAAUUUAGCUUAUAACCAGUCUAAAAAGGUUCCUUUAGAUAAUAGAUUGAAUCACAAUGGCAAUAGUUUCCCCCCAAACUACCAUAUCAAGGAAAUUAGGCUCAUCCGAACUACGUGGCUCGCUACGAGGCGGUAUAGUUUUGACAGAAGACACUAGGAAAUUCUCAAGAUGUCCAGAAUUGCAACCUAAGCUCUGAUACCAACUGACACACCCCGUCCCGAAGGAGGGCAUGCUGGCCGUCACGUGAGAGUGACGUAACCAUUUACACAGUUCGGAAGCUUUAAAAAAAUACAAUUACUAAGAUGAAACACCCGAGGGUGAGUCCUACUUUUGUGAAUUCUGUCAGAACACCGUUGGAUUCCUCAUGGCCACCAAAGCUCUGCUAUCUAGAACCUGAAGGGGCGCAAAACAAAGUUGAGUGGGUCAGUAAAACAAAGUUUUUCGAAAACAUUUCAUUUAAAACAUUUCUAACCCCUCGCUGUAAAACCUGUAUACUUUCCCAGAAAAUAACAUAAUAGCAUAUACCUUCAAAUAUCUCAAAUCAUCAAUCUUUAUCAAAACCAGAAAGUAUGCCAUGUCAUAAUGUCAAAAACAGAAUAUGGAUGCAUCAAUAUAACAGGUGAAAUAAGGAAUCAACCGGAGACCCUGCAGUUGGUCAUGUACGGUUAAUUCUAUAGCUCAAUAUCCAAUCCAACCGGAGUCACCACGGUGACCUGUACGGUGUUACUCUGCACAUAAGUCGGAACUACCAGAAGUAGUCUGUACGACAAGAAUGGUGUAAUAAUACACUCUAGUGCUUCUCUCAUCAAUCAUCUGUGCACAUAAUCUAAGGUCACCUACCAGUCGGAACCACCUCUAGUGGUCUGUACGACUAGCAUGUCGGAACCCUCUCAUGGUCUGUACGACAUGCACCUACUUGGAUCCAAGGUAGCGUGCGGUGCGGUGAAUAAUAUAAGCACUAACAUCAGGGGUGCAGGUUAUGAGCUCUCAACACAAUUCACAUCAUCAAUGAUUCACAUGUAUAACAUAAAACUCACCUGUGCGUCCAUAGCACCAAUUCACAUAUAUAUAUGCAUCAAUUAUCAAUUCAUAUAUCUCAUAAUAUGCAUGCAUGGCAUUUUAAAACAUACUUAAUUUAAAUUUAAUUUCUGGGAAAAAUCAAUAGUAUAUAGGUAAAUACAGAAAAUAACUGCCCACUUUUCUGGAGUUCGCCCAACAACUCCCUAGCACAACACAUCAAGGCGUCAUGACGAUCGGCGCCAAGAACAAUAAUCAAAUCCAACCUCAGAAAUCAUAUCGAUAGAAUAUAUAACUUAUAUAAAACACGUCACUAUGUAGUUCGAUCCGGAAGAUCUGCAACUCAGAUUUCAAAUCCACAACUUCCAGAGGUCCAAAAUAUACCUCUAGGACAACAUCCUAAAAUUUCAUUACCAUCCAACGGUCGGAUCUCCGUCAAUUUCCAGAACCAAGUGACGGUUAACAUUCUAUUUUAUGAACUUACAACUCCAAUUCCCAAAGAUCCGUAAAUUGGAUUCCCAAUCCGUAAGUUCCUAUAAUCCUCAAAUAUUACGUAUUACAACGUAUCAAAGUUUGGUGAUGAUCCGAUGGUUGGAUCGUCGAUUCACCUUUUGGCCUAACCACGAAUCGUAACGAACUUAGGUUCAAUUACUCAAUUUACGUCCAUCAAUUAUCAAAACUGAACCUAGAACCUUAAACACAUGCUAAGAAUGACAUUGGCGGGCCAUUGGCCACGCGCCGCCACACGGGCCGUCGCGGGUGGCAGUCGGCCGCCCUGACUCGCCGGAAAAUCCAACUAUUUCAAACAAUUCUCAAAAAAUACAGAAUUGAAGAUCUCAAUGAUUAGAGUAAACUUUAUACCUGAGGCCAAGGCCAAUUUGGACUGGAAACACUUCAAUUUCACCAAAAUCCGUGCGGAACCCUAGAAUUGGGUGAGUUCCAAUUCAUCUUCAAAUCAACUCCGUCGUCCCAACCAAUGCUUGGGCUUCGUUCUAGGUCCUAAAAGAAUGCUAAAGGUGUUAGUAAUUGAAAGAAAACAUUUCAAUAUUUGAAGAAUUUGAACAAAAAAGUCGCGGCACCCACGGGUGUGUUCUUCACCAAUUCACCAUCAAAUUUCAUGAUUUUUGGGGUGAAACAUGAAGAGGGAAGGCCUAGGUGUUGAUUGGAAGUGAUACCUUGAUCCAAUUUGUGAGAAUUCCGUGAAAAUCGUCGGAAUUUGGGUGUGGGAAUCGCGGGUCGAAACGGGUCGCGGGUGAAGACCCAUUUUUCUUCCUUCUCUCCUCCGCUUCUCGCCCUCUCUCCUUUCCUCCUUUCUCUGUUCCGAUUGGCCAGUCUCCUCUCUCUCUUCUCCCCAUUCGCCAGCACUCUCUCCUUUCUCUCCCGGAGCUCCUGCUCUCUCUUCCUCUGGUUGGGCAGUUUUGCCCAAUCUCUUCUUCUUCUUCUUCUUCUUCUUCUUCUUACGCACACACACACACAAACCUUCUUUCUUCUCAUCCCAGCCAUCCAUUUAUUUCUUCAUUAAAUCUGGGCCGUCCACUUUCAUAAAAGAAAUUCUAGAUUUUACUAAAUUAUAAUUCCUAAAAUGCCCAAAUUUCAAACGUUAAUAAAUGCUUCAAUAUAACUUCAAAUCACGCACCGUCUGCGCCCACGCGUCCGUAGCGAUGAGUAAUACGAGGAUAUGUUAAGAAAACAAAUCUUAGAUGGCACGACACAACGAUUAACCUCGAAUAAUGCGCGUGCCUCAAAGGGCAUUUUUUGUAAAAUCCUUUAUUAAAACUUUAAAACUCUUAAAAUCAGGGACGGGCUGUCACAUUUUUUCUUUUUGAUGCCAAAUUCUAAUAUAAUAAUUAUGUCGUAUUACUUUCAUUCUAGUACUUAUUUUUAUGUACUUUUUGAUAAUUUUAAUAUAAAAUAUCUAUUUGGUGUAAAUAUGUCGUUAUAUAAAAAAAAAGUUUAUUUUUUUAUAAAAUUAUUUUGAAGCACAAGUUAUAGAUUUUGCCAUUGUGCAUAGGACUUUUGUCUUCAGUACAAUGCAUCUCAAUUGUAAACUCUACACUUCUUACAACUUAUUGUGGAUGCAAAUUUCUUCCUCCUUGAUCUUGGACAAAAUUGCACCUACAAAACAAAUACCACAUUAGGUCAAGGCCAAGACCCUCACGCGCUCACGAUGAUGGGGGGAGGGGGCUUUGGCUGACGAACCUCCGAUGCCAAAGUUAGAAUUUAGAGAGAAAACUGUUUGAGAGUUUUGGAGAAUUUUAGCAAGAGUGAAGACCUAGGUUUUUAGAGAAAAUGGGGUUCAAUAUAUAGAGUAUGGCCCUUUUGGAGAAAAGGUGGCCGGCCUUUGGGAUGUUUUUUGGGUGUAUUUUGUGGUUCAAUGUGUGAUUUAUUUGGCAAUUAAUUGAUUAAUUAGGCAAUUAAUCCAUUGAUUAGCCAAUUAACACAUUUUUAGAAAGAAAGUUUUGGAGGUUAUGGAAUGAAUAAAAUAAAUAGCUAAUUGAUUAGCUAAAAAAGGGAAAAUGAGGUAAAAGAUAUAUGGAAUGAAAUAGGUUUUGGGAGUUACCUUGUAGAAGGGAUUUGAUGAGAUAGGUUUUGAAUUGUUACCUAUUUUGGGCACUUUUGAUUUAGUUGAAGAUAGGUUUUGAAUUGUUACCUAUUUUGGGCACUUUUGAUUUAGUUGAAGGAUGAUUGCUUGUUGCUUGCGCGUACGAAUCCCGUUGUAUCUUAGGGGUAUUUAUGUCCUUUUUUGUCCAAAAAUCCACGUGUCGCCUUGUGAUUAUUUUUUGCUCCACAAAUGCCCUCACACCUGUUGGUCUACUUGCAAGAAAGGGCAGCAGGUGUAGAGAACUUCUUGCUUGAGGAAACAUAAGAUUGUUUCCUAUUUUGAUGUUGAUUUCCUCUUUUAAUUGGAAAUUAGAUCAUUCUAGGAAAGGGAAAUAAAUUUCUCUCAAAGCCUAUUUAAGUUCACCUUAAGUGGGUUAUUAAAUCAACUUUGGAGAGCAAGUUAUUCUACCAUACAAGAGAGAGAGAGCUUAGAGGAUAUUUGUUCCUCCUCCUCUAGCAAUCUUCUACAUCUUGCUCGUGUAAAUGACCGUCUUUCAUUGCUUUCUUCGUCUUCUCCGUGCCACACCGAAGUAAGAAAAAUUUAAUUUUCCUUCUCUUUUUCUUGGAUAACGCUACCGCGUUGCAACCGUCGGGGUGGUGCAGCACGUCGGCUAGCAGGGGCCAAGAGUCGGCUCGACAUAAGCUGAGGAAGUGUUAUGGCAGAGACCACUGCUUGAGCUGCUUGGUUUGGCUAAAGCCAAGGGCAGCUGUGCGGCUAGGGCCACGGAUUGAGGCAUUGAGGCUUUAUGAUGCUAGGCGAAUCGCAUGACUCAUUUCCUUUGAGAUAAAUAAGAAGGUCGCGAGCUUUAUAGGCUAUUGAAAUGCUGGGCAUGUAAACCUCCUGCUUGCUGGCCCGAGAGAAAAAUGAAGGAAAAGCCGGUAUGGGUUGAGCUCUCAUGCUGAGUAUUAUGAAUGGCGUUGGCUGCUUAAUCUUCUUCGUUGGGAGAAAGGUAGGCUGCUCCCGAGAGAAUAGGUAUAUAGGAUCAAGGCAGAUGCUUUGGCUCAUAUGCUGUCGUUGGGCUUACUAUUAAUGAAGAUGGAAAGAAGAGAUCUUCCCUGCCUGCUCAAGAGAUGCCGGUUGAGAAAAACUGAAAACUUUCUUCGCUGCUUGUUAAGGUCCACCUGCUGCCGAAAGACCUGUGAUUAACAUAACUUUUUCUAAUGGGAAGAAAAAUGAGGCUGUUAGAUCUGAGCAUGUGGCGCCUGUCAUGUCGAGAAUGGCUUGUUCCAAUUGGAAGAAAAAUGAGGCUGCUAGAUCUGGGCAUGUGGUACCUGCCAUGUCAAGAAUGGCUUGUACGAUUGUUAAUAUUAUUGCUCAGUGUAAAGGUCUUGUCAUGCUCCCAGUGCUGAAGUCUGUGCCAUGACGUUCGUUAGAAGCAAAGUUCGAUUCUCCUUCAGAAAUGCUUGCUAUUAUGAAGAGCGAUAAGGUGGACUCUACUGCUAAAAUGGCGUUAAGGCCUACUCCCUCUGUUGCUGAAACUGAUUCGCCUGCUGGGGAAAAUGAGAUUGUUUGCGUGGGCAGCUGUGAGAAAUCCACUAAGCCUGCUUCUGGGGAGGCUGUUGAGAUUUGUGUGCUCUUGAAACCAGAUCUGCUUAAAGACAUGGACGCUUGUGCCAAGUUUGUUGAUGGCGUUUAUAAAGGUUUGUUUGCCCAAGUUCCUUUGUGAAGCAUACGACCCAAUAUAGAAUGAAUGCUCUGCUUGCUAUGAUGCAGAUAUAGCAAGGUUGCCAAUGAGGUGGUGAAGAUUAUGGCAGUUGAAGCUUAUUCCUCGGCCGAUGAGAUCAAGAGGUUUGAUUAUGAGCUCGUUGCUUUGAAUGGGUCUAAUAUUUCUGCCCUUACUUCUCUGCAGCUUGAGACAACUCACCAAGAUAUUGUUAACUUGAAGACUAAGCUUGACGCAAUCCAAGUUAAGUAUGAAAGUGCAGAGAAUGAGAUUGGAUGUUACAUACCUCAUAUUCAAGAUCUUGAGUUUGCAGUUUCUAAGCUUCGUUUCGCUAUACAAAGGAUAAAGAGUUGAUUACUACUUAUAAUCAAGUAAUCCACUUCAAGAGAAUCGUCGAUAGUUUGAAGAAGGAAGUGGAUGAGCUGCAGCGUGUUCGUGUUGGUCUGUUCGAGGAGGAUGAGCAGCUGAAGGGUGAGAAAGAUGGGGUCGAGAUUUCGAGACCUUCUCUAUUUCUCCGGAAUACUUGCUUGCUUUUACUUUUGAGGCUUCCAUUGGUAAAGUAGUUAUAGAAGUUGGUGCCCAGGCUGGGGCAGCCGGGGGAGAAGCGCCGAAUGAUGUCGCUGCUAAGAGUGUUGUAACUGCUGAAGGUGUGGUAACCGAGUAGUCAUGGGAUGUCCAAGCUGUUGUAGUCUUCUAAGUAGCCUUUAGGAUUGUAUUUGUUUUUCCUUGUAGCUCUUGUUUUGUUUGAACUCCUUUGGCCUUUGCUAAUUGUUUAUAAACAUGCUUCAUUCGUUUUUCUUCAUCUUCACUUCUUUUGUUCAUGCCCUAACCUUUAGACUUGAUAGACCAAUGGCAGACAUGCUACUUUUUAUAAGCAAACAAGCUCGCGUAGCCUAUGCAGCCGUAGGUGUUGGUGUAGAACUUUGCAAAGUUCUUAGCCAUAUGGUUGGCAGCCAGAUGCCUUACUUACAAAAGCAGACAAGUCCGCGUAACCACUAGACUGUUAACCUUGGCUUUCUCUAAUUCCAUAGAUUGCGUAGUAAGUAUCACAACACUUUAGGACUUGGUGUAGGUUGUUCCACGCUUGGCAAAGGUGAAGCUUAUCGACUACGUAACAUAUCGGUAGUGGAUAAAGCUAGACCUGGUAUUCGUGUCGUAUUUUCCGUGUUCGUGUCGUUUUCGUGUCAUACCCGAUAUCUUAACGGGUCGUGUCGUGUAAUACCCGUUAAAAUAAACGGGUAAAAUGAUCCAACCCGAAAUCGACCCGAUAACAUUAACAAGUAAUAUGACCCGACCCGUUACCCGUUAAGGAAAAUAUAUUUUAAACCAAUAAAUAAUCAAAUGAAAAACAUAAUACUAAAUAAGUAUAUACAUUCCAUAUUGUCACAUCCAAAACAUAAAAACGCAAUUUUGUUUUAAGUAUAUUUUCGCUUACCUAAAGUCUUUAAUAGUUUUUUAAUUAAUGUAGAAGUGUAAAAAAAUAUAGAAAAAAAUAUAUAAACACUCGUAAUGACAAGCUUUAUAACUUUCAUGAAGAGCUUAACUUCGAAAUUCGCCACUAUAAUCAUAUAAAUCAUAGAUCAAAAUUUAACCAUUGAUUGUUGUUUACAUUUAUGCUUCAUUGUUCUCAUCAAAUUUCGUUUUUUUAGAUUUUCUUUUUUGAAAACAUGAUCUAUUAGAGGGUGCAGGUAGAUGAACGGUUUGGAUCGUUGAUAUUACAUUUAGAGUUUUACGGUUAGUGAAAAUAUUGUUGAUGUUUAUAAAGUUUCUACAAAUAUAUGACAUUGACUCAUAUUUCAGUUAACCGUAAAUAUCGAAACGUUAUAUCAUCUUCUUACAUCCGCCAGAUGAUCAUGUUUUCAAAAAAUAAAAUUUUAAAAAUGAAAUUCAGUAAGAAGAAUAAAGCGUAAAUGACAAUCGACGGUUAAAUAAAUUUAAGGUUUCCCUACUACAAAAUUAUCUAUUGCUGGCAGUCCAAAAACUUUUUUCAACGAUCCAACCGUCAAACUUAUUUGUACACAUUCCAAGAUUGCAUACGUAAAAAAUCGUACAAAAAAACAUUCAGAGAUUACGUAACGGAACAAAAGUUUCCGACGGUUAUAAACGAAAAAUCACAAUUUAACGGUUAUUUUAGCUCCGAUUUUGAUGAUUUUUUACAGAUACACUCCUCGACCCUAUAAGAAUGUAAUGAAUAAAUUUGAUCUUUAAUUUAAAGUAUUUACACUAGUGGAUACCACAAAAACUUAUUUUAUACUUAAUAGAAGUAUAAUAUUAACUCUAAGUGUUUGUUUAAUUUACCGUUUUGACGCAAUAUGCAUUCUACGAAACAUUUUCAAUGAUCCAACCGUCAAACUUAUUUGUACACAUUCCAAGAUCGCAUACGUAAAAAAUCGUAAAAAACAAACAUUCAGAGAUUACGUAAUGGAACAAACGUUUUCGAUGGUUAUAAACGAAAAAUCACAAUUUAACGGUUAUUUUAUCACCGAUUUUGAUGAUUUUUUACAGAUAGACUCCUCGACCUAUAAGAAUGUAAUGAAUAAAUUUGAUCUUUAAUUUAAAGUAUUUAUACUAGUGGAUACCACAAAAACUUAUUUUAUACUUAAUAGAAGUAUAAUAUUAACUCUAAGUGUUUUGACGCAAUAUGCAUUCUACAAACCUUUUUUCAACGAUCCAACCGUCAAACUUAUUUGUACACAUUCCGAGAUCGCAUACGUAAAAAAUCAUAAAAAAAUAAACAUUCAGAGAUUACGUAACAGAACAAAAGUUUUCGACGGUUAUAAACGAAAAAUCACAAUUUAACGGUUCUUUGAGCUCCGAUUUUGAUGAUUUUUUACAAAAACACUCCUCGACCCUAUAAGAAUGUAAUGAAUAAAUUUUAUCUUUAAUUUAAAGUAUUUACACUAGUGGAUACCACAAAAACUUAUUUUAUACUUAAUAGAAGUAUAAUAUUAACUCUAAGUGUUUGUUUAAUUUACUGUUUUGACGCAAUAUGCAUUAUACAAAACUUCUUUCAACGAUCCAACCGUCAAACUUAUUUGUUCACAUUCCGAGAUCGCAUACGUAAAAAAUCGUAAAAACAAACAUUCAGAGAUUACGUAAUGGAACAAAAGUUUUCGACGGUUAUAAACGAAAAAUCACAAUUUAACGGUUAUUUUAUCUCCGAUUGUGAUGAUUUUUUACAGAUACACUCCUCGACCCUAUAAGAAUGUAAUGAAUAAAUUUGAUCUUUAAUUUAAAGUAUUUACACUAGUGGAUACCACAAAAACUUAUGUUAUACUUAAUAGAAGUAUAAUAUUAAAUCUAAGUAUUUGUUUAAUCUACAGUUUUGACGAAAUAUGCAUUCUACGAAAUGUUUUUCAACGAUCCAACCGUCAAACUUAUUUGUACACAUUCCGAGAUCGCAUAUGUAAAAAAUCGUAAAAAACAAACAUUCAGAGAUUACGUAACGGAACAAAAGUUUUCGACGAUUAUAAACGAAAAAUCACAAUUUAACGGUUAUUUUAGCUCCGAUUUUGAUGAUUUUUUACAGAUACACUCCUUGACCCUAUAAGAAUGUAAUGAUUAAAUUUGAUCUUUAAUUUAAAGUAUUUACACUAGUUUUAUACUUAAUAGAAGUAUAAUAUUAACUCUAAGUGUUUGUUUAAUCUACUGUUUUGACGCAAUAUGCAUUCUACAAAACUUUUUUCAAUGAUCUAACCGUCAAACUUAUUUGUACACAUUCCGAGAUCGCAUAUGUAAAAAAUCAUAAAAAACAAACAUUCAGAGAUUACGUAACGGAACAAAAGUUUUCGACGGUUAUAAACGAAAAAUCACAAUUUAACGGUUAUUUGAGUUCCGAUUUUGAUGAUUUUAUAUAGAUACACUCCUCGACCCUAUAAGAAUGUAAUGAAUAAAUUUGAUCUUUAAUUUAAAGUAUUUACACUAGUGGAUACCACAAAAACGUUUUUUAUACUUAAUUGAAGUAUAAUAUUAACUUUAAGUGUUUGUUUAAUCUACUAUUUUGACGCAAUAUGCAUUCUACGAAACUUUUUUUAACCAUCCAACCAUCAAACUUAUUUGUACACAUUUCGAGAUUGCAUACGUAAAAAAUCGUAAAAAAUAAACAUUCAAAGAUUACGUAAUGGAACAAAAGUUUUCGACGGUUAUAAACGAAAAAUCACAAUUUAACGGUUAUUUUAACUCCGAUUUUGAUGAUUUUUUUACAGAUACACUCCUCGACCAUAUAAGAAUGUAAUGAAUAAAUUUGAUCUUUAAUUUAAAGUAUUUACACUAGUGGAUACCACAAAAACUUAUUUUAUACUUAAUAAAAGUAUAAUAUUAACUCGAAGUGUUUGUUUAAUCUAUCGUUUUGACGCAAUAUGCAUUCUACAAAACUUUUUUCAACGAUCCAACCGUCAAACUUAUUUGUACACAUUCCAAGAUCGCAUACGUAAAAAAUCGUAAAAAACAAACAUUCAGAGAUUACGUAACGGAACAAAAGUUUUCGACGAUUAUAAACGAAAAAUCACAAUUUAACGGUUAUUUUAGCUCCGAUUUUGAUGAUUUUUUACAGAUACACUCCUCGACCCUAUAAGAAUGUAAUGAUUAAAUUUGAUCUUUAAUUUAAAGUAUUUACACUAGUGGAUACCACAAAAACUUAUUUUAUACUUAAUAGAAGUAUAAUAUUAACUCUAAGUGUUUGUUUAAUAUACCGUUUUGACGCAAUAUGCAUUCUAAGAAACUUUUUUUAACAAUUCAACCGUCAAACUUAUUUGUACACAUUCCGAGAUUGCAGACUUAAAAAAUCGUAAAAAAUAAACAUUCAAAGAUUACGUAACGGAACAAAAGUUUUCGACGGUUAUAAAAGAAAAAAUCACAAUUUAACGGUUAUUUUAGCUUCGAUUUUGAUGAUUUUGUACAUAUACACUCCUCGACCCUAUAAGAAUGUAAUGAAUAAAUUUGAUCUUUAAUUUAAGCAUUUACAUUUUUUUAUAUAUGAGUGAUUGUAUAUAUAUAUUUUUACAUUUUUUACACUUCUACAAUAAUUAUUAUUAAUUUUACCCUCAAAUAAAAAACAUUAUUCAUGAGGGUUUGAAGGAUUUUAAAAAUCUAAACGAUAAUAUAAGUGUAACAAUUAUCUAUUCGUAGAGGAAUAAUGAUAAAUCACGAGUGUUUAUAUAUUUUUUCACAUUUUUCAUACUUGUAUGUAUGUAUUCUUAGUUCUUGCAUAUACAAAUACUAUACUAGUAUAUUUUAAUUUUGGACAAGAAUAUGUUAUGUAAAAUUUAUCCUAGUAAUGAUAAUAAGGAACUCUCAUAAUAAAAAUAAAUAAUGACUAAAACUUUUUUUUUAUUUUUUUAUAAUUUAUAUAGAACAAUAAUACAAAACUAUAUAUUUAAUAUAGAAUAUAUUGUAUAUAUUAAUAUGACUAUUGUAUUUUAUAAUAAAUCUUUUAGUAAUUAAACUUUAAAAUUAUUAAAAUAAUUUUUUUCUUAACGGGUCGAAACGGGUUACCCACGUGUAUACCUGUUAAGAACCCGUUAUUAACGGGUCACCCGAUAGUGACCCGAUAAGUUAUCGUGUUGACCCGAAACCCGUUAUUUUCGUGUCGUGUCAAAAACUGUCAGGUCUAGAUAAAGCUUCGUAUAUGCACGCUAGCUUGUUUAACCUUUCACAAGAAUGUGCGGUUAUAUAAGUCUAACGCGACUUUAUUGCUCGAAGGGCAAGCCGUAGGCAGUCUUUCAGAAACCGUAAGCUACCUUAGUGCACUUGGUAGCAGCUUUAGGGUUCCAGGGUAGCUGUCUGUAAGGCGUACUACGUAAUGUGCCCCCUCCGUCUCUAGGGCCCGGUUCCCCACGGAUUUGGCCAAGAGACCUAAAAUCCUUCAGUUAGCUAAGCCUUGAAAAAAGACCAUUGUGGCUACUUCUAGGAAUCCCGGCGCAAGCUAUCGUGCAUCUAGUUAUACUAUGGUAGCCAGGCUCAUCCACGUCUGGAUAUUCGAAGUGUAAAGUUUAUCCUCCCGUCUUGGAGUGCUGACCCAUAUGGGUGUUGGGGGAUUAAUUUACCUUCUCGCACUGAAGAGCAAUUAGUUUACCCUCUCGCAUUGGAAAGCAUGGUUGGUCCAUCAGGGGGCGCAAUUCAUGCGAUGUGUCCCUAAAAAGGGCGCAGUCUUCUUUUGAAGUGCAUGAGUGAUCAGUUGUUGUAAGCAUGCAGCCGAGCCAAGUUGUGAUUACUUCUGAAUUCCUCAUUGAAAAAACGAGUGAAACGAAUGAGAACUUAGCUAUAAAGUAGGAACUGCAUAACAACUAGAUAGUCCUCGGCUUGUGAGGUGGUGCCCGUCGAGCUUUUUGAGUCUUCAAACUUUGAUGUAGCGAGAGGUAACACAUGGUACUUCCUCAGAUUGUAAGUGCUUCACUACUUUUCGAUCUUUUUAUCGUUUCAUGGUGGCAAGGGUGUAAUUACUCUUGCCGCCUACUCUGCUGAUCUUGUACGGACCUUCCCAGAUGGGAUCCAUCUUUUUAAAGCCUUCUCUGCGGGCAGUGAUGAAGGCUUUUCUUAGGACUAGAUCUUCGGGCUGGAACUAUCGGAUCUUAGCCCUUUUGUUGUAGUUGGAAAUGAGUUGUUGCUGGUAGGCUGUGAUGCAAGUGAUGGUCUGCUCACACUUGUCCUCUACCAGAUCUAAGCUUGUGGCCAUUUCCUUACUGUUUUGCUCAAUGUUUAGUAAUAGAGCGGUGAUACUUGGCUUAACGACAUUGGGAUGAAUGAUUACUUCUGCCAAAUGCUGAAGAGAAAGGAGUCUCACCGGUUGCUCGUCUUUUGGUGGUGCGAUAUGCUUAUAGACAUCCGGGGAGUUCAUCUGGCCAUUUUCCCUUCUUAUUGGUGAGGGAUUUCUUGAGGCAGCCGAAGAUCAUCUUGUUGGAUGCUUCGGCCCGCCACUACCUUGAGGAUAUCUUGUCAUAUACAUGUGCUGCUUGAUGUUAUACUUUUGGGAGAACUUUGCCACAUCUUGGUUCAUGAAUUGAGGGCCGUUGUCGGUGACGAUGGACUGAGGGAUGCCAAAACGGCAAAUGAUAUUCCUCCAUAGGGAUGACAAAAUGCCAAAACGGCAAUUAAUCCAUUGAUUAGCCAAUUAACACAUUUUUAGAAAGAAAGUUUUGGAGGUUAUGGAAUGAAUAAAAUAAAUAGCUAAUUGAUUAGCUAAAAAAGGGAAAAUGAGGUAAAAGAUAUAUGGAAUGAAAUAGGUUUUGGGAGUUACCUUGUAGAAGGGAUUUGAUGAGAUAGGUUUUGAAUUGUUACCUAUUUUGGGCACUUUUGAUUUAGUUGAAGGAUGAUUGCCCGCUGCUUGCGCAUAGGAAUCCCGUUGUAUUUCAGGGGUAUUUUUAUCCUCUUUUGUCCAAAAAUCCAUGCGUCAUCUUAUGAUUAUUUUUGGCUCUACACUUAUGGUGAUAUUCUUUUUCAUUUGUAAGUAAUAGUUCUUAGGUUCGAAUCUCGUGGAUGACAAAUUUGAUAUCAAAUUAGGUUAUCCAUUGUGUGGUUUAGCCAAACUCUCUCAUGUUUUAGUAAAAAUAUAUCGUUGUACUAAUAAAAUAAAAUAAAAAUUGGCUAUCCUUUUUACAACUUAUUAGAUGGUUGUUAUGGCCGACAAUGACAUGCCCUUCUUCUCAUACCUUUAUCAGCGGCGAGGAUGCUGUCAAUUUGUCAUUAACCAAUUGGAUUAUAAAAGUUCUUUUCUUAUACUUGUAGACAGCCAAAGCUACUCAAGUUUAGGAUAAAUUUAAAGUGGAUUCCUAACUUUGAUACUUCAACAACUGGCCUUUAGCUUGUACUAUUACGUGGCAAAGUUGGGUAUCCAAAUAAAUGAAGAGGUAUCUAGAGAUUGUUUUAGGUAUAAUUAGACCCGGCAACGAGUUAUUUUCUAUCAUAUUUGUAUCGUGUAGACUAUAAACCCGUAUUUUUAACGGCCAACCGUGAAGCUAACUAGUGGAAAAUCCCAACUUGAAGUCUUGGACUCCUAUCACUUGUUUGUAAGUGACUUAUUAGCCAAAAAACAAAAAAACAAAAAAAGUGGACUUUGAAACACUUUUAAAUUCAGGUGUGGAGUUACAUAACAAAAUGCAUUUAUAUCUUGUAUGUCGUAAAGGCGGUGUGAAUGCCUACAUAUUUUGACUAAAGAUGAAAUGUAAGAAAGGCCAAAAACAGUAGUAUAGAUGUAUUGUCAAAUUUUAUUACUGUUGUAAGGCAUGACUUUCAACAUGCAUUGACUUCUCUUGUAGACUUUUGUAAGUAAAUGGCUCUAUAGAAACAAUAUGCAAUGUAUAUAAAGUGAUAAUACCAAUCUCCCUCCCAUCUCUUCACCUGCAUUCAUUGUUGAUAGCAAUUUUACCACACAUGCAAAUGGGUUAAAAACUCCUAUAUUACUUGCAAGCAUGACAAGGUUAUUGUAGUAUAAACGGAUCUCGCAAGGUCGUUCUCCACAGAGAUUAUUAAAUAAUUCGAAGCAAACCAAAUUCCAAUUGAUUAUUGUAAAAUAGAAAUUUGAGAUGAUUGAUUUUUAUGACCUAAUUUAAUAAAAAUGAAUUUAACUAAUAAAAAAAAACUAAUCUGCAAUAUUAAAGAUGAAGAAAAAAGAAAAGUUUUGGAGAAAUCAAAUUAAGAAAGAACUAGGGUUCCACCAUCACCUAGCAAUCCUAUGAACUUUUACCAAUUACUUAUGAUCUACACAUGCCACAUUGAAGCUUAGGUUUUUCUAAUUUAUAUUCUACUUGGAACCUCCAAUAUAGAACGUAUAUCUAACAUGUAACCUGUCAAGACGUUCGGAUCAAAUCUGAACAUGAGAGACUCAUUAUGCUUUAUGAAAACCCUUUGAAAACCCAUGCAACACUUAAGACAUGGUGUUCAUCUUAAAUGAAAAUAUCCUAAUGGUGAUCAAACAUUAAGAUAAUUAAAUAGUUUUAAUCACGGUGAUUAAUAAUUCAAAUGUGCAUGCAAUCAAUCAUAAGCAAUUAAAUAAAAAUCACGUAUUCAUGCUAAGGCUCAAGACUUAGCACUAGCAAAAUAAAUUAGUUAUGCAUAUUCAUAAUUAAAAUCAUAGAAAAUAUUAUUAAGAAAAUGAUUGAAAACACCUUAAAGUAGAAAAACUUCAAGAACCCUAGCAAUUCUCUCUGUCUCCAAAGUUUCAUAAAAGCAAGCGUAGCCAAAAACUAAGAACGGCAAAGCAAUAUAACCUACUAUGCCAUUGCAAAAUCCCUAAAAACCAGGUCUUUUAUUCCAACUAGGAAACUAAGAAUAAUAAUAAAAUAUCUUAGAAAAUAAAGUCCUAAUUAAGCUAGGAUAAUCUGCUAAGUACUUGUCCAGCUAUGUUUUAGCCUCAGAUGUCCUCUAAAUCCAGCCCAUAAUAGCUUAUUUUGAAGAUCGGGACGUUCUGAACACAUCUUCAGAAGGCCAUGAAACCAUCCGAGAUCAUUUUGGGCUCUAAAAAUGCAAUUCAAGCCAAAACGUCACGAUUUCAACAUCGUGCACUGCUCCUUUAUUUUAUUGCCAGAAAAUCAUCGUUUGGUAGAAAAAUCUGAUAUUUUGAUACGAUCAAGCUAAUUGACAUACAAAUGUCCUCCAACUAGAAUUACUCCAAAAUUUGUCUAUUUGAUUAUGUUUUGCUCCAGAGGAAGUCGAAAAUCCUAUAUUGAAAAUACAAUUCAAAAUAUCAAAAUUCUUCCAAAAUAAUAACCAAAAUAUACUAAAAUAGGGUUAAAUAUAUAAUAUGAAAUUGACUCGUCAAUUGUCUAAUACAGUUAAGAUUAUGAACAGUUUGACACAUUGCUCCUGACACACCCCGACCAAAAUCGAGGCAUGCUGGCCGUCACGUGAGAGUGACGUAACCAUGUGCACAGUGCAGAAGCAAUAAUGAUAUGGAGAAAUACAAGUGAAUAAAAACCAAACUACUAAAAGUACUAGCUAAGAUAAGGUGUUAGUGAGAGAUUAAGUGUGAAAUACAAAAUUAGAGCAUAAAUAGCCUAAGUGCAGUCCGACUGGACAAGUACUAAUUAUACAACACCCAAAGGUGAUCCUACAUUUGUGAUGUUCUAUCAGAACCACCGUCAAAAUCUCUGUGAGCCACUAAAGCACUUCUACCUAAAACCUAGAGGGGCGCAAAACAGAAAGUGUGAGUGGGCAAAAACAAAUGUCACAUCCCGACCCGGGGUCCAUCACAUCCCAGGCCCGCUCCACCACCGUAGCACGAUAUUGUCCGCUUUGGGCCCCGACUACGCCCUCACGGUUUUGUUUUUGGGAACUCACAAACAACUUCCCAGUGGGUCACCCAUCAUAGGAUUGCUUUCGCACGCUACUCGCUUAACUUCAGAGUUCCGAUGGAACCCGAAGCCAAUGAGCUCCCCAAAGGCCUCGUGUUAGGUAAGGAUGGGAAUAUACAUUUAAGGAUCACUCCCCUGGGCGAUGUGGGAUGUCACAACAAAGCUUUUCAAAAUCAUUUCAUUUAUCAAAAGUGUUAACCCCUCGCUGUAAAACCUGUAUAAUUUCCCAAAAAAUAAUAUAUGCUAUAAUAGAAAUCAUGCUCAGGAUGAAAAUCCAUAGAAAUAUACCAUGCCAAAGUAUCUCAAUGAAAUGCUAUAAGUAAUCCAGUUAAAAUAUAUCAAUGCCAGAUAUCAUAUCAGCUGGAUCCACCUAAUGUUACCUACAUGGCUAAGUAUAUAGCUCAUAACCAAUCUCAAUCAUAUCAAAUCUUGUACACGAGUCAGAACCACCUAAAGUGGUUUGUACGACAAGACUAGGUGUAAAAUAAAUAUGCUCUAGUGUUAUGAUCACGUGAAGGCUGUGCGAAUGAUUGCGGGUCACCUACGAGUCGGAACCACCUAAAGUGGUCUGUACAACAAGCCUGUGCACCUAACUUGGAUCCAAGGUAAGCAUAUGGUGCGGGGGUUGAACAUCACGUAAAGGACUGUGCCCUAACUCUAGGUGGGAGCACUAACACUGGGGUGCAGGUUUAUGAGCUUUCAAUGCAACACAUCAUAUCUAGCAUAACUAAAGCAAUCUCAUAUCUUUAAUUUAUGAACUUACUUGACACUUACUUGUGCUUCCGCAGCACCAAUCAUAAAUAUAUGUAACUACUAAUGCAUAAAUAAAAUAGGUAGAUACUUUGCAUGGCAUUUCAAAAUGUAUAAUCAUGCAAAUUUAUUUUCUGGAAAAAAUCUCAAGUAUAUAGGUAUAUACAGAAAACCAAAAGCCCACUUACUAAUAUGUCGAAAGGUCAUACCUCCCGAGCCUCGAUUGAUGGCGCUCGUCCUCAGGAUAGGUCUCACCUAUAUACCAAAUAACUAAAUAAACUUUAUUUAAAGCACAUACACAAAACUAGGAAAUAACUUCUUACACAUUGCUCAAAUGGGGUAUUUGAAUAUACUACCAUGACCUACUCAACCUCAGGAACAUCCCCAUAUUUUUGAAAAUUUUUCCGAGCACCCACGCGCCCUCACACGCUGGCUCACGUGUAGGCACGUGCCUUGCACACCAAACGGAUUCCCUAACGGAGUUAGAGAAUAUUCUGUUAAAAACAGCAUAUACCGUUAGAAUUACCUGAUGACGUUAGAAUAUUCCGUCAACUUUGAUGGAAUAUUCUCCUCCUUCUUCCUUGGUUUGUCGGAGUCCGGCGCCGGUGCCACUGCGAUUGCCGAAAACUGGAAAAAUCUUAGAACUUCAAUAUCUUCUUCAUUUCUCAACCAAAAUUCAUGAAAUUUGUACCAAAAUGAAGCUUACAACGAGUAGAACAAAACCUUACCCUAAAAUCCACGAAAUCUUGCCGGAGAAACCUCGAUAAUCCGGCCAAAAUUUGAAACUCGCCAAACUAAGCUUCCCGACGUCCAAAACACUCCAACUUUCUUCCCCGAGCUUCGUGAAGAUGUCCUAAAGCUUCCUAGAACCUUAAAACUCGCUGAAAAGCCCACAAUUACGACUGCAUGAACAAUACUCACAAUCUGAGAUUCUGGGUUCCCGGGUUUUCGAGGUUUUCACGUCCAACCACCACCACCAUUCGACUCCUAAGCUUGCAAGGAGUCCAAAAACACCAAUCACGACCUUGAUCCGUGACGUUUGAAAGGGUUUUGAGGGUUGUCCGUACAGGUUGUAUGGAAAUGGCAAGAAAAUCCGAGAGAGGGAGGAGAGGGAGGGUACAUGUGAGUGGUGUGUGUGUGUGUGUGUGGGUGUGGUCCAGCUUGUUACCAAUGAAAAACAAAGAUAACUUAGUUCUAAUUGGGUCCAAACAAUUAGAACCUAACCUAUUUGGUCCACAUCCAAAACUCAAACCACACGACAUCACACAACGCUCAAGGGUAUAAAAGGAAUUUCCACGCUAUCGAGGAUAAAAUAAUAUACAUUCGGGACGGACUGUCACAGCUCCUGUUCCACAUCAAUCUCUAACAAAUGUCCUCUCUCUCAUUUUUACCUAUUUAUAACAUUGUGACCAUUCAUUACAUUGUUUUGUAACUUUUUAAUGUGAUUUUUGUAUUGUUCAACACACGCCUUUACAAUUUCAGACAGACUGCCACAAUUAGGUCAUUAAGUGUAGCCAAUUCUACGUCAAUCAAGCAAAUUCGGGAGCAACGCAAGAUAAUUGUAACAUAAACGUCCUUUCAUUUUUUUUAAUGAUUGAAACCCUGUGUAAAUUAAGUAUCACACUUGCAGUUUAUUUAGAGACCAAAAGAAGACUAAGUCUUCACACUUGCAAUUUUCUUUAGAAAACAAAAGAAGAUAGGGGAACAUAAUUUCAAUUUCCGUCUUAAAAAAAAGUUAAACAGAAGAUAGCCAAGUUAACACAGAGAACGAAAGUAAACAUAAGUCUCCAAAACCAUUCCUUCAUACUAAACAAAUUUUUUGAAUAAACGAUAGUAUCUACACUAAGAGAGAGGGGAGUAGACUUAGCCUUACAAUUGGCUAGGAAUAAUGUGGUUCAAAUUCGUCUUUGGUGAGAAUCGAACCUAAGACCUCUCACUUACAAGUAAAGAGGAUACCACUAGACUGUAAUACAAAAUUACAAUAAACUUUAUGUAUAUAAAAAAUAGUUUGAAAUGUUUGAGCCAAAAACAUAAAAGUUACUCAUACCUUUACGAGCUAAAGAUAUCAAUGUUAAAGAUUGAUAAGUUAGAGGAGGUAUUUUCACAUCACCACCUGUAUGUGAGGUUUCAAUAAAAAACAGUAAUAUUUAGACUUGUGAAAUUACAUUAUUGCCCAUCAUUUUUUUGUGUGAUAAAAGACUAAUUUGUCUUUUCAUCAUCUUUUAAUUGACAAAAAAGAUUUUAUUAAUUAAUAUUUAUACUAAGAUGUUGGAGAAAUAAAGUAAUUUUGAACUUGUCACUUCCGAGAUUCAGACUUAAAAUCUUUCUUCCUUUAUAAGUAGGAGAAAUGUAACUGCAGUCUGAUGGUUGAAGUAAAUAGUUGAAGUGAGAGUUGCAUCACCUGUGGUGAUAAAACGGGUACCGUUUAAUAAAAACCGUGGAUAAUUCGAAUCCGAAACCAAAAGCAGAGCCUUAACUUAUUUUUUUUGUCCGUGUUAUUCAGCAGGCUUGCUCUAAUCAUUCAUCCCCUUCUUCACCCUUUGCUCUCGUUCAAUUUCCCAAAGGUAGGCCCUCACUCCUCGAUUGCAAUUCUUUACAGCCAGAGCUUUUUGGUUAGGGUUUUUGAUCCAUUUAAUCAUCGCUUUUCUUAUCUGGAUUUGAUCAAUUAAAUCAUGUGUUUUGUUUGAUGGUUAGGGUUUUUUGCAUCAGUUUCUUUUUCUUAAUUUGAUCGAAAUUUAAUUGGCAGACACCCAUUUUGUUUCUUUUCUUGUUAGGGUUCCAGUUUCAAACCAUACAUGCUUUCAUUUUCUUUGUUCAAUUUUUGAAUUGAGCUGCAAUCUAAUAUGUUAAUGAUAAUGGUAAUGACGAUUAGCUCGAGGCCUGAUAUUUAUUUAAAAUUUUCGAAUUUAGUUCAAAACUUCAUCAGGGGUGUUGUUUCUUUAUCAAAUUUUAUACUUCGUGUGACAAGUUUUUGAUUUUGUUGAUUAGUUUGCUUAUUAGAGAUUGAAUAGACGGUGAAGUGUGAAAGAAGAAGAUGUGGGCAGCUUCGUGCCUGGCAUCAUGCUGCGCUGCUUGCGCUUGCGAUGCUUGCAGGACGGUGGUGUCAAGUAUUAGCCGUCGGUCUGCUAGGAUUGCAUACUGUGGGCUCUUUGCGCUUUCUUUGAUCGUCUCAUAAAUUCUCCGCGAGGUUGCUGCUCCUCUCCUGGAAAAGAUUCCCUGUAAGCCACCUCUUCCAUCAUUCCAAUAUUAGUCUGUGGUGUUAUGUUAUCUACUUGUAUUCUGUACACUUGUUUUGAAUGUAUUGUAAUGCUUUAUAAGAAAAUCAUAAUAGAGUAUCAUCAAAUGAGUGAAGAAUCUUACCUUCCCGUGGAAGUUUGACUACAACUAGGUGACGAGAACAAUUAUAUUUCAUCGGCUAAUUUUAAUUCAACUUGGUUGGAUGUGACGCUAGUCUCAUAUUGGUUGUUGAUGCAGGGAUUUCUCAGUUUAAUGAGACACAUAACAGGGAGUGGUUCGAAACAGAUGCAGUGCUUCGUGUUAGCUUGGGGAAUUUUCUCUUCUUCACUAUUUUAUCAGUUAUGAUGGUUGGUGUGAAGAAUCAGAAGGAUCCCCGUGAUAGUUUGCAUCAUGGUGGAUGGAUGAUGAAAGUUAUAUGCUGGUGUCUUUUGGUGAUCUUCAUGUUUUUCGUACCAAAUGAGAUUGUUAGCUUCUAUGGUAAACACUACUAACCAUCAGGGUUUUGUUUUCAUAGUGAAUGAAAUUUCCACUUUUUUUUCUUUGAAUAGUCCCAAGCGCUGGAAUUAAUACGCAAUUGGCAUUUCUUGCCCUGAUUAACAACAACAACAAAGUCUUACCCGCCUAAGCGGGGUUGGUUGUAUGAAUCCUAAAACACCACUGCACUCGGUUUUGCGCCAAGUCUUGCCCCAAUUAACAAUCACAAAUUUUGAACCUACAAGAAGUGUCUGUGGAACCCAUUGCUUAAUGAUUAAAUUGAAUGCAGUUAGUCCUAUAUUAAAGUUUUAAUUCUGAUGUUAGAAUGUAGUCAUUGUUUUAAGUUUUCAGUAUUAAUUUGACUCUUGAAAAAUAGUUAGAUUGCUAAAUCUAAAUGGCUUUAAACAUUGAAGAACUUAAUUAUGGGCUUACGUAGGUUGAACUUAGAGAGUAAUAUUUAAGUUAUAACUCCGCAAUUGUUCCAUAUUUUUCUGUGGAAUGAUUAGUUUUUUGGUUCUCUGUCAGAUCACUCUUAAUUUUUUGGUUAAUUAAAUGUACCUUGGUUAGAGCACAUUCAAGCUUUUAAGGCAACUGGACAAUUGUCAUGAUUUUGUUAGAGUAAUCUGGUGAAAGAAAAGCUUUUUGACCAUGAUCUGUUAUGCAAGGAAAAUGAGAGAAGAUUGGACCACUAUUUGAGAUUAAAAUAAUAUCUGAAGGCUAACUGUACUCCUUCAAGUAAAUUUAUCUCAUAUGUUUUCGUAAGGGAGGAGUGCAGAGUAUUCUUUAUGAAGUAUCAAUAGCAUUUGGAUUAAUCUGUUAUCCUGCUGUGGAAAAUCUUUUCAAUUGUUUGACUAAAUUUGACAGUGAAGUAUCAUGUUUGCAGAGACAAUUUCCAAGUUUGGCUCAGGAUUUUUUCUUCUUGUACAAGUUGUACUUCUGUUGGAUUUUGUUCAUGGAUGGAAUGACAAAUGGGUUGGAUAUGAUGAGAAGUUCUGGUUCGUGUAUUAUUUUCUUUAGUAUCUAUUAUUCAAAUUCACAUUUCUACAUCUUUAACUGAUUUUAACUUGUAUCUUCCUCGCUAUAUAUAGGUACAUUGCACUUUUUGUUGUUUCUCUUGUUUGUUAUCUGGCAACAUUCGUCUUCUCUGGACUUCUUUUCCAUUGGUUCACACCAUCUGGACAAGACUGCGGGCUCAACACCUUCUUUAUUGUCAUGACUCUCAUGUGUGUCUUCGGGUUUCUUAUAGUGGCACUGCAUCCUUCGGUAAGUUCGUAAAUAUGCAUGUUUUUACUUUUAUUGUCAUACUAUUGUAGCCAAUGAUAAUUGGUUAUCAAGAAAGGAACAGGAAAAGAAGAAAGCAGGCCCCACAGUUGUAUGAUACAUUCAUGCAAAGAUACAACUGAAAAAAAUUAAAAAGGACUAACAAAACUUGUAUAAGGUUGUGAGAUCGUUGCAUUAUUGUUACUGUCUUUAUGUGCAGAGAGACUAGUUAUAGAUUCAGUGAUAGACCAGAAUUACAGAGCACAGAGCCAAUAAAAUCCACCGUUGUCUUAUUUUAUUUUUUUUUCAGGAGGAAACAUCCUAUUCUAUUUCCUUAAGAUUGCGCAAAAAAAAAAAGCAAUUAAAACUCGAAAUUAUAUGAUAAAUUGACACUUAUUUAAGCAUGUUCUGUAGAUAACAUAAUAAUUGGGUCAAAACCAGAAGAAUAUCACUCUCCAGGUUAUGGUGAUGAGAGCUUGAUUCAAUUUAUUAUUUUUCCCCCCUGCAUUCUGACUAGAGCAACACAUUUCUCCAUCUUAGAUCCAGUUAACUUAAAGAGUAUAUACUGCUUGGCAUAUUUAUACUGUGGAGUAAAUUUUGUUAUGAAUAGUACUGUGAUUAAUUAUGAUUUUAAUGUUAUACAGGUAAGUGGCAGCAUUUUGCCCGCGUCAGUUAUAUCUAUGUACUGCACGUACCUCUGCUACAGUGCACUUGCCAGUGAACCUAGGGACUAUGAGUGCAAUGGUCUUCACAAGCACUCCAAAGCUGUUUCCACCGGGACCCUUACCUUUGGGUUGCUAACCACUGUUCUUUCUGUGGUUUAUUCUGCUGUUCGUGCUGGAUCUUCCACAACUCUUCUCUCCCCACCAAGUUCUC